UGUUCUAUACUAUUCCACAAUUCCAUGAUAUUUGAUUAUUAAAGCCGUUGUCGUUGCGCAUUAGCUCUUAUUGGCUACGAGAAGGGCUUACUUGAGCGGGUUGGUGCCUCAAUCCAUUCUUUUAUUUGAACACAAACAAGUGCUUUUUAGAGUCAAGUAUGGAUAAAGAGCGAUCAGAGGUUCGCCUGCUGAUACAGAGUAUUUCUAGUGUUGUUACUAGAAUCCAGUAGUUUUCUACUUUUUCAAUAAUGAUUUGAUUGGGAAUACAAGUAUCCUUGUUUGCUUGUUAAAAGCGUCUCAUAACCCAUACUAACUAAUACAGCUACGUGGGGGAAGAAUCCAAUCCGCUUUUUGUUCAAAGGAGAUAUCUCCCGAGAUUAUUGGAUUCUAGUAUAAAAGUAAAGUCAAGCAAGGGAUUCGGUUAUUGUUGCGAUUCUCUUCUUUAAGUAAUAAGUAACAGGGAAGCCAAGCCGGACGUUUGUGAGUUAAGCGAGUUAGAGGGGCUUCAGAUCUUGCCUCUAAUCCUUGAGUCAGUAGUGAGUUUAGUCUUUACAUGGAUCUUAGCUACCUUUUCAAUGCCAAUGCCUGUUAAGUAAGAUAUAGUCUGCCCCUAACCCUAACUUUCACCUUUCCCUCAGCAGUUGAGAAUUCUGUUCCGAGAUACUUUACCACAUUAGCUUCAGCAGUUGAGUAUGAAGGAAUACAAUAUAGUGGAGUUGAAAGCGCAUGGUAGGCGAUAAAGAGCAAACAAUCUCUAUUGGUUAGGUACCAAUUUAUAUUCUCCAUAUCCAUUAUUAUGUAAUCUAUUAUUAUCCAUAUCUAUUAUUAGAGAAUCUAAGUUUAUAGCUUAUUGUUCCGGCAAAACUCCUAUCGCGUUCAACUCAACCACUUCUAACUGCCUGGUAAACUCUACCUGGUCAACUCUACCUGGUUAACUCUACCUGCCCUAGCACCUACCUACUCAAUACUUCAGUAUUCUACCUUACUCUAACAGCAUUAGCCACAAAUAAUUCUUCCACUUCAACAAGAACAGCGGAUUCUUGAUACUUUGGACUCUGAUUCUUAUUCCCGCUACGUGUGGGGUCUAUGUCUAUACCAUAAACCUUUCUUUUCUAGCGCUUCUGAUCCCGAUCCAGCUUGAUUUAGAUCUUUCUCCAUCUUUUGAUCCUUCAUAUGCUUAGGCCUAUGAUUCUUUGUACGAUUCCACUCAUUUACUUGCGCCAACAAACAAAGAGAAAAGUCAAUCAAACACUUAAGAGUCAAGAGAUGCUUCAUAGCUACUUGGGCAUUCUGAAAGAGGAGAUUCGGGUCCUGUGUCUUGUCUUAGUUUGUUGUAAUUGCUUGUCGGAAAGUCUACUCGAUCGGAAGAAGAAAGUACAGGUGUAGCAGCUAGCUAUAAGAAUCCAAGAAGAAAGUACUUGCUUUGAAGCAGGAAGCGUAGUUAUUGUGGACGGAGUUCAAGGCUUUCCCUUUGUUGUCGUAUCUAGAACUAUAAGCUCUGUUCGGUAAAGAAGAAAGUAAGGGUAUCAUGCAAACGGUUUCACAAGUAGAGUUAGGGCAAUAAGUUCUUCUCGUGGAGAGUAAGGAGCAAGUCUGGGGAUGGGGGGUAAAUUCCCUAUGUAGCGCUAAGAGAAGAGAUGAGUACUACUUAUCAUUUCGGUUAUAAUAUCGACCAGAUCAGCAGGAUCCGGAGAACGAUCUAAAGUAGAAGAAAGAAAGUCGACAUCAACGAGAUCAGGAUCAGAUAAAGCAGUUUCAAGGAAGUCAGCAGCAAGCGAAGGAAGUGGGUCUUCGUGCUUUUUCUCAUACAAGGAAGCUAGGUUAAGUGGAGAAUGUGCUUCUAAAGCUCCCGGUUAAGUGGAGAAUGUGCUUCUAAAGCUCCCGCCUCAAGAGAGGAAACAGUUGCUUAUAGUUUCUUUCUGGUCGAGUGUAAUCGUAUAAAGAAGACAGUUAGCCCGCUACACUAUCCAAUUUUGUAUCAAGUAAGUCGCGCUUGUCUAGUGGAUCUCGUAACCGUAGCGCUUGUCUAGUGGAUCUCGGUGUUGGCGCUAACCCGCUCAAAGUAGUAGAGUUAUGGUCUUCCAAUUCUAGUUACGUUCUAGUUGUUGGCGAUGAGAGAGAAAGAAGUUCAUCGGUUAAGUAGAGUUGACAGCAGCGUUCUUCUAGUGUUAUAGACAAGUUUCUUUCAGGUUCUUGUGUCAUUGUCUACGAUAGAAUCUAUAAUCCCUCAGUUGGGCCGUAAAGUCUCUUCAAUUGCAUUUCGUCUUAAUAACAUAAACCGUUGUCGAAGCCUAACCCACCCGUUCGCUUGUCUUUAUCGUUACCCUCGUUCGCUUGUCUUUUUCGUGACCUUAAAGCUUCAGGGGUACAAAAUUCCUAACCAAGUAUCACCUCGCCGAACGAUCAAGUAUCUAAGAGCGUUUUCCGCACAUAAGUCUUUCUCAGUUGUUAUAGCACUUUUAGGGCUUCAUGAGUCGAUUCAGAAUCUUAGGUUCUCACUUCACUUGGCGACGGACUUGUCCCACUCCUCGUAAGUUCAAGCCCCAGCCCCCCAAGGCACUCCUAAUGUUGGGCGUGAGGUCUUAUUCGCUAGUACAGAUGUUUCUCAAUAUCCUUAUGCAUCAUUCAAUCAAUCAAAAUGAUGUUUAAGUUGUCUGUAUCAGCGGAUGGGAGACCAAUGAGAUGACUCAUACAAAUAACACGGGAUGCAAAUCUAAGAAAGAAAUAUCAUAUUAUCGUAGAAGAAACUCAUAUUAUAUAAGAGUAUUAUCGUAGAAUAGUCAAUUAUAGAAAAUAGAAGUAUGUUAGGUAAAACAGCAAACGGGUAUUCCACUAUUCGUUCAAGAGGUGCUUCCUCAUAGAGAGGGACAGUUGAAACUGCACGAUCAUCUUAAAGAAUUGAUGAUUUUGGAAGUGAGAACAACUACACGAGAUGGUACAAGACGAAAUGAUAGGAGAGGUAAAGCUUUGGAAGCAUGAGAUGGUCUUGAUCUUAGUUGGCUGGGAAUUGGUAAUAAGAUUAGUUGCACAGCGGUUAAACGACGAAAAAACGAAUGAUUAGAAUGCUUGUAGAGCAAAGUAAUGAAACGAUUGGAAUAGAAGAUAGGGUAUUCGAUCUACAAUGGGCGAGUUACUGGUAGAGCGGAAUACAGCUGUAACAGUACUUACGCUCGUGUUGAAGUCAGCAGAAAUCAAUUGGACCAUCUGAUACAACGGGCGAGAAAAAUACGAGGUCCAAUAGGAGAAAAAUAGAAACUCCAAACAAGCAGAAGCGCGCCGGGAGGAAAUGGAUAAGGGUAAUUGUACUACUCGAACUUUACUGAACUUUCCAAGCCUAUACACAAGCACCGACACCUAUACAACUUUAGCACCCAACCCAAAGCAAAGAAACUCUACUUUAAGACGAAAACAAUACUUUCAGUGACUUCCCAAUAUCUUGCAGCUGAAGAUCUUUAUCAGGCUUCCUCUCUUGUUGGAGACUUCCUACUUGUAGCGGACUUUGCGCUUGCAGUCAAAAAGAUCGGACUAGCUUCUUGCCUUGCACCGAGGAAAACAUUAAUGGAUUUUUGAGCAACCGGUCCUGGUAUAGAUAUAAGUAAGUCAACUGCUUCCCUUGAAGAGAUCUUAGUCCAAUAACUAGGCCAAUAACUUAACUCGAACUAGGAUUGCACGGAACUGACAGAGACUCUAAACCAACACUGGAAAUUCCCUUCCGCGGUAAAGAACAGGAACUACAUUUGAAUCUGGAACAAUACUUUAUUAACCGGUUGAUGCAGACUUUGGCACUGCUUAUUAUCCUGUUUAUGAUCGUAAUUCCAAUCCUUCUAUUGUCGACUUGAAUGGAGACUUGGACACAGAGAAGAACUUGCUGCUUCCUUUAGCUUUAGCGCUUACUUUGAAACAGCGGAUUCUCUUACAGCACGCAACACCUCUAGUAUAUCUUCUAUUAGAUAAGUGUAUAUAACCUCAUAGAAUAUUAUAAGCUUCCAUAUGAUACUGAAACGGAAACGGAAACAGGAACCGCAUCCGCUGAAGCCACUUUGAAUUCCAUAACUUUCCUGGACACCGAACUUCUCUAGCCCGGCCUUUAGAGUCAUUCGCGUUAGCACUUAGUCUUGAUCCGAAGUAAACAAGAAUUGACAGUUGAUCGAGCGCCGAAGAGAACAGAACUCACAUGAACUUGAAACUUCCCUUUCUGCUUCGAUUGCUGCUUCAUCAGAUACAGCUACUGCGGAUUCAGAUCUUUCUCUUGAAACGAUAACUACACUUUCAGAACCAACCGUACUUUAACUCGCGCCCCGUCUUUUCAACAAGAAAGGGAACCAGAGGGAAAGGGAAUCAAGAAGCUCACAAGGAAAGCUACAAUAGCCACGCUUGCUAAUCGACAUAUUCUUAUACAAUACAAUAGGGUGGAUGGAAUUGAGGCGAGAGAUGAAGAGGACGGAUGGAGGUGGAAAUACUGGCAACCUAGAAGGCAGAAUUCUAGUUCAAGGGAGUACUCACGCUUUGCAAUCGGAUGGUCACUUUACUCUCUCUAUGAUAGUUUAGUUAAUAAGUUAAUCCAGAAAGCAAGGUCCUAUCCUAAGCUCAAAUAAAGUAUCGGAAAGAAUAUUCCAUGAGAAUAAGUAAUAGUACAUAUGAAGCUAAGUCUCCGGGCGGGGGCGAUGGAAGCUUUGACUUUGAGGCCAACUUAACUAUAGGGCGAUGGAAGCUUUGACUUUGAGGCCAACUUAACUAGAUAGGGCCAACCCAUUGUAAGAGUAUGAAGCCAAGCAGCUUGAAAGCUUCCGGAGAAGUAGAAACUCCAUCUAGUAGCUCACCCGCUUGCUAGCUUCAGGCAACAGAAUCAAUCUAGUAGGCUCACCUGCUUGCUCGCUUCAGUAUCAACACAGAAUCAAUCUAGUAGCUCAACGGCAGUUAUCAAUACCAAAUCUCUAUGUUUAAAGGUUGGUCCUCAACAGGAAAUAUUGACUCUGUUGUGAACCGCUUCUAAUAAUCGAGAAAACAAGCACAUAGAUUAGCCGCAAAGCGAGCACGGGAAUCUUUCCCUGAAGGCUCAAUGUAAUAUGUAUAGAGUUAUAACUCAGAGAAAGAAGAAUAGUGAAAACUCAGAAAGGUAGAUGCUAUAUUAUUAAUCACUUAGAUAAGGCAGCAAGCAAUGUUAUUAAAGUAUGAGACAGAGGACGAACGCAUAUAUACCAAGCCCGCACAUACUGCACCUUUCAAGAGAGUAUGCUUUAACUGCACCUUUCAAGAGAGUAUGCUUUAGUAAGGCAGGCAGGAUUAGCUUUCUAAUGGUAUGAUGUUGUUGGGCUUCCUAUAGGACUCGUUCUUACCAUAGCCCCGUGCGUUAAUCCCCUACUGCCUCGCUUUCUAAAUGCACCACGGCUGAUCCGAAAUUCCAAGAAGUGAUUGCUUUUUCUCUUUAUCACUCGAAAACCAAAUGCAGUGAGCUAAGUGAGAGAAAUAGGUAAUGUUGACCAAGAGUAACGGACUACGCCAGCAAGCACGGAUGAUGGUUGGUCCAAGAAAGAAGAAAUCUCAUUCAAUCACCCAAUCACUAAGCUACUAUGCUAGUUUUCAAAGCCUUCAAUCACCCAAUCACUAAGCUGCAGGUUUUCCAUAGAAUUUCCUUCCAUUACCCUGACUCUUUAUGGACUCCUUCUUUAGAUCCUUCCAUUACCCUGACUUUUGAUGGACUCCUUCUUUAGAUAGGUUCACUUCACACUCCAUAAUCUUGGAGGGCCUGUUUAUGGACUCCUAAUGCAGAUAGGUUCACUUCAGACUCCCGACUCUUAUUGCCUGCCUGAUUGCCAUUACUUUAUAGAUAGCCUUAUGAAGCGCCCUGCCCAGUCCUUGAACAUGGGUUAAACGACUCUUAUCGCCUUAUUGACUGCUUUCCCUUAACCGAGUUGUGCUAGUUCUUGAGCGGGUGCGGCCCAUAACUAAGGCUUAUUUGUUUGCUUGAGCGUGUGCGGAACCUUACUGCGGAUUCCUUAUUCUAAGUUAUCAAACUGCGGAUUCCGGACUUCAAAACUCACUUAUAACACACAACUCCUUCCCUUUUAUACUUAGACGAACUCACGUUAGCCCUUUUGUUGAAUGGAAUCUCAUGCACAUAUAAAGGAGGAGAGUAACCUUUACUUAAACUAACUACUAAGGCAUAAGGGUUCAAGAAUAUAGGAGAGUAACCUUUACUUAAACUAACUACCAAGGCACAAGGGUUCAAGAAUAUCUAAGUAUGUGCUCUGACUUAAAAGAGGAGCAUUGAGGCACCCCUUGAUACUCGAAUAAGCAUGAAUUCUAGUGAUAGGCAUCCAGAUACUCCAAUCAGUAUUCAUUAUAGUGAGCGGUGAAAGUAAGCGCUAACUCUUAACACACUAUGGAUAGGAAUAAACCAAAACAAACUACAGUACUUCGUUUUGCUAAGGAAAAGAAUCGAAUGCUAAUAAUCAGUAGAGAUUGCGGGAUAUGGGAAUGGAAGGGAUGUGAAAAGGUAGAAAAGGCCAUCUCUCCUUUUUUUGUCUGUCUCAAGAGCAUUAGAAAGAUUCGUCCCGGGUCGGGUCCCAGGUGGUUUACGACUCGCGCUGUGGUACUCUGACGUGUACGUGCUGGAGGCAGGAGAAGAACAAAAGGGAGAGGGAGCCCCGCUGAUACUUUCCAGUUUUUAGCGUUCGUAGUUCGUAAAGGAGGAUAGAACGGUUUACAUUGAUUGUGGUAUAGGGUUUACAUUGAUUGUGACUUUAAUACAGAAACUCGUGUCCUUAUGAGAAGCCAAUGAAAGAAAUGCAGUAAUAGAUUCAUUUCAUACAUAAACUCGUUCUUAUGAAAGAAAUAAGGUAAUAGAUUAAUGGAAUGGGAACCCAUUUCGAAGCGAAGCUCUCUCGAAGCACAAGAAGGAAGGUAGGCGGGGAAGGACAGAAUAGCCGCUUUCCACUUCAGGACUACGCAACACGUGAACUGAACCCUCUAAACGCCUUAAUAAGGGGCGCUACACUCCAUCCAUACAUAAAGGUGAACAACUCUAUACUAGUUUCAAGAGGAUCUACUACGGAAUCUGCUAAAACGGUUCUAAUGAGUUUCCUUACUCUUUAUUAUCUCAAACAACGAGCAAAGUGACGGGCGCACCUGUUGCAUGAUCCUGGAGACAGUCUAUGCUUCUUUUUCUCGUCUUUCUCCUCUAUUCUGAAUUGAUUGACUAUUUGGACUUUGUCAAAGAAGAAGCUUCGCUUCCUCAUUCUACUUUACUGAAAGCGCAGCCAUUUCAUUUGCUUUGCCAGUCUCUCCAAUCUAAAGCAAGAGAUUCAUUAUCCAGUUAAAGCUGUGAGUGUCGGGUGCCAAUCUAAUUCUCCAAGACUUGUAACCGAGCAUCGUUAGCAGCAAUUGGAUAGGGUUUCGUCUUUGAACCACCUGGUUUAGGUUUACAGUGGUAUUGUUUGUGUUUCAGUCUGCAAGGGAAGCAGUUAGGUAACAUAAUUCCCUCAGUGGUGCUCGAGAUAUAAAUAAGUCGAAAUAAGAAGUCUUUGUGUUCUCUGCGCCUAGUACUCCUUUAGUUUGAGGCGGGCUGGGCUCUCAUUACAUCAUUAAUCCAUAAUUCCUGUUUUCUGUUGCAAGUUAAAGUACAGGUCCACGACCAAUCUGUUAAGUUGAUUAUGCAAAGGGUCAUAUUCUAUCAAGAUACUUGCCGUAAGAAACUAGUGCUGUUGUCGGUUAUCCAAAUGAAUGAGUUUCUUCGUAUAUAGAUAUGGAUGCUGUGCCGAAUUAAGCUGUUAGAGCAGUGGAAGAGGAAGCAUAAUUGCCAGUUACAGUUGAGUCUCCGAGCCAGUUACAGUUGAGUCUCCGAGAGAAGAAAGGCCUGUUCAAAAGUCAUUUACUCAAGAAGAAUCUAAAGCAUACGUUGCACUUGCCAGAGGCGGAAUGACAAGUUUCCGUUUCAUCUAUAAGAUCAUCUCUUGGCGAAUGAGUGCCCACAACUAGUCCUUUCUUCGUAGUCAUCUUAAGCAGUGUGAGCUCACCGUAUGAAGAGUAGAGAUCAGUAGAGUAUAUUUCUGUUCGAGGUUAAGAGUAGAGAUCAGAUCUUAUCGAAUACCAACGUUGCAAGGAUCUACUCAUUGCGCAAUAAACAAGUGCUUUUCUCGAGGGUCAAAUGCCUUUAAAGAGCCAUAGGGGUAUUAAUAGAUGUGUGACCGUUGUUUCCCAUAGCAUAGGUCCAAAUUCCCAGAAAGAUGCCUUUUCUCGAGCGCGGGGCACUGGUAUAUCUCAUUAUUAAGCAGGAAGGAAGGGUGUCGAAAAGUGUCUAAACAGGGAUUCCACUCUUACAGGCCAUUCUUAUGCUUCAUAUCUUUUACCACUGGCUCCAACUCUAUAUUCGAGUUCCGACUAAAACAACUAGUUGGACUUCUUCUCUUUUCACUCAAAGAUAUGUUUCUUCUCUCUAGGAUUUCUGUUAAGUUCUUGUUUGUUUUCUUGCACGUUCACUUUGGAUUCUAAAAUAGGCCUGGACGCUUACUCGUACGCACCAUCUAUUAACCUUUGUUUCAUUUGUGUCAGUAGAAAGGGCGAGAACAAGUGUAUGAGUGUAAGUUGAAAGAAUUAUUUGUGUCCUCUGCGCUCGAAAGAGCAGUAAAAGUAUUUGUGGAAUUUAUGGUUUCUAGUUUACUAUACUAUAGAUUUAGUCACAGGGGGAAGUAUAGUAUAUAGCUUAAAUAGUCCGUCGUCCAAGUAAGGAUGCAGGCUCAAGUAAGAGGUAAGUCGCAUCCGCUGCUCGAGUGUUGUCUACUGGAUCAGAUGCUGUGCUUUGAAAUGAUGUUCUACAGUCCCGUUCGGAUGCUCAGUCUAGUUCGGGUACACGGGUGUUGGAUCUUCGGCAGUACCAGUUCAAUCCAGGUUCGGUGCUGUAGCUCAGCUCCUUGUACAGAAUACAGGUAGAUAACUUCUGCCAGCGCCAAGUCAAUGAGUGGAAUCCCGAGUUUCAUCCUAUAUAUAAGAAGAAUAGGGAACCCAGAUCUUAAGCUUGAUCAUCAGCAGUUUAGUAUCAAGGUGUUGUCGACUCCCUUCUCGCUCUCUUAGUCCGUUUCUUCUCCAUUGUAGUUGUAUAUUAGACUCUUAGUAUAAGCCGAGGAUUCCAUUUAUUAGGUCUCCACCACUAUUACAGACUCAUCUUCUAUACUAGGGCUAGAAAGUGAUAUUUGGAUGGAAUUGUCAUGCCGUAGAACAUACUUUCGGGUACCCCAAUUGUGUUUAGGAUUUGCCAUUCUCUAAGUUCACCCUGGAUGUGAUGAAACAAGAGCAAGAGACUUAUAUGGACUCCGUACCGGGGCUCGGGCUCCUGCCGUGCAACAAGAACAACUGCCGCGCAACACACACUAAGUUGAAGCUCCUUUGGACAGGCUCGGACACAUUGAGUACACCCUAUACAUGUAUAAGAAAUCCUUACUUAAUGUGACAUCGGAUCUAUCAUUUUGGAAAGACGGGCAGUCCUCACGUUAUUGAACUCUUGUCUGUCAGUGAGUGAUUCAUAGUUUGUGUCAAGAAGGGGGCAUAGCGUCUCAUCUAUUUAACAAAUUGGUGGAUGUUUUGUAACGAGAGUGGAUUCCUUUUGGGGGUUCUUUGUCAUUCUGCUAACCUGAAAGAAGGAAUGAAAGAGCAGCUCCUGUGGUAAACAAAAGGUGGAAUUAUCCGGACUGUACGGACUAUCAUCCGAUGAGGCAAAAGGAGGAUAGAAAGUAGAUGAUAAAGGUCAGCGACAGUGGACGUUACUCUAGCGGAAUUUCAGUCUAUUCACAAUGAGAUAAUAAUUAUGAAUGUGAAGUGUGUUCGAGCACAAGGUGCUUCAAAGCGAAAAAGAGUCCUCUACUUUGACUUUGAAAGCUCACUAUUGUAUCACUGUCCGCUCGGGUUCUUCUCCGAUCCGGUCUUUUUUUCAAAGGGAGGGAAUCAAAGUAAAGCUAGGCUGGAAAGAUGUCUUUCCCAGUCUCCCAAUCGCCCCACCCAGCCGGAGUUUCUCUAGAGUGCAGCCAAAGGCGAAGAGAUUCUUCCAUAACCAAUCCAAGGUAUGGAGGAAGCUUGUUACUAAGAUCCCUUGUUUGGUAAUUAAUAUCCCAGGAUACAGGGUUUCACUUCUUUGUCACGGUUUGUGAGUCAACUGAUUCUGUAUUGAGCCGGCUUUUACAAACAAGCCCUAGUUAUUUUUGUAACCUCCAAGAAAGCAAGCCAAAAGUCCUAGAACUAGAAAAGCGAUAUUUCCUAGGUAACAUCCAAGGGAUGAAAAACGGACCCUACUUCCUGUGUACUCCACUUCUUAACUACUAUUUCUUAUUGUUGCCCCUCAAAGCGGUAACCGGUGCACUAAUAAUACCCUUCCUCUCGGCUAUCUCUCUUUCAAUUAACGCUAAAGGCAUGUUCUUUAUUGUAGAUAAUAUAAUCAAGGUAAUUCGAGUCAGAGAGAUAGAUGAUUCCAUUUCGUUCUUUACUUCAAGUCAUUCUCAGAGGCAAAAACUGGCUUAGAUGAGCUUCCUCUGCUAAUGGAUAGAAAUCAUGGCAAUCGUUGGUGCAGAGUUCCAUGCAGUUAGAAGAAGGCUUUUCACUAGCCUUGAUGAAAGCGACGAAGAGCGAGUCAAGAAUUCGAUUACCACGACAGAGGGCCUCGUGUGUUUGUGAGAGAUAGCUCCUAGUUCUGAAUGAACUGCUUCGAGCGAGCUGCCCUUAUUAUAUGACACAGGAUGUUCAACCCCAAUUAUGGAACUAGAAGCACAAGGCUCGAUAGACCUUAACUAUACUCCUCUGGAAUGAAGUGAGUCUAUAUACAACUGGAAUGAAGUGAGUCUAUAUACCAUACAAUAAAAGAGAAAAGCGGAUCUUGAUAGAUUGCCCUAGCCCUGCCAUCAAUCACUGAAGAAGGAUAGACCUUUUGAUACUUCGCCUUUUCUUUCAUAUGGAAAUGUCGCCAAAUGCUUGCUCUCCCGAAGCUAUGAAUUCCCUCUUUCUCGGGGGCUAGCGCAGCUCUCUCUUGUAUUAGCUAUAGGGUCAAUCCGACUAGAUCUAGGGUCAAUCAAAUCAGACUGGUAAAGAGGCAGGAAUUAUCCAAAAUAGGAAUGGUAGGCUCAUAGGCUGUAAAGCAAGACUAAAGAAAAGGAAGGGCUGCCUAACAUAGGGGUGUAGUAAGUCAGGGUUUGUUCCCUAGGAGUGAAGGCUAGUUUUUUGGAGUCUCGUAUUGCUAGCACCAGUAAAAGUCUGAGUUAUUAUAUUAAUGCUUCUUAGUAUGUGCGCGGAUGUCGUACCUGUCUUCUGAUUUCCCAGUUCCACUCUUAUUAGUGAUAGAUGCAUUCUUUCCAGUAAGUAGUGCAAUUCCAGUCCUGUUUUCUUCUUUGAGUUGGAAUAGGAAUAUCCAUCAGUUGGGGAAUAAAUAAGUAUACAGCAUGGGAGUAUACAGCAUGGUCGGGUAAUAUAGAAUAAAUAAGGGGUUUCCGAGUCAAUAGUCAUGGGAGUUUGAAGAGUCAAAUAGCUUGAGUUUGAUAGCACAGAUCCGGUUCAGGAGUCUUCGAGUUCAAAGCACUAGUGGAUUUCCUGUCAGCACUAGUAGGAUCCCUAGUUUCUUGUUUUGUUUCAAUUGCCAGAUGCGCACUAGAUCGUACUUCUCUAAUAAUACUAAGUUGAACUCAUGUUUACUCCUAUUAUUCUUAUGUCCCUUUGUUCAAUUCCGAUUAUCGUUAGUUAAUUCCCUGUUCCGAGCUAGGGUCCUAUACUUAUAAAUAGUGGUUUCAGUCUCUCUUUUAUUAGUUUCGCUCUAAUAGCAGUUAGGAUCUCUGCCCGAAGGAUGUAAUAAGCAAGUCCAGAAUUCUAGCCGGUAGAGCAAGCCCGAGAUGAAGUCAAGUAAGCCUCUAAUCCAAUAAAAGGAAAGUCAAGCCCAGAAGCCAGAAAAGCAGCAAUCUUUCCGUUUUCUAGGAGUCAAAGAGACCGACUUGGCAAAUAUUAAUUGCGCUAUCGCUCUGACUCUCCUGUCUCUCUGCCUUACUUCCUGUUUACCUUAUCUUUAUCCCCUGGCUUUGAUUCCUCUACUAAUAAGAGAACAACUGGUGCCUCUCAUAACCAACCUUGAAAAGGGGGAAUUCAAUCCAAAGUAAGAGAAUCAAACGAGUAAGGCAAGGGCUGAAAUCACCGACAACAGACAAGUAACCACCAAUUAGUGAUUAAGAAGUUAUUACUGCAGUUGUAUUCGCAGAACUCGAUCCAAUAGUCAAAAAGCCUUAUCUUGAUAUCGAUGCCAAGCCUCCAUUACUAAGUAGUAAAUCUGACACUUGUUUGGGUAUUCAAUGGAUUAAGUCAUAAGCGAACUGCUAACUAUGAGAUUGAAAACUUGUCAUAAGGAAACCAACCACUGCUUAGCGGGCUAACCAACCACUGCUUAUCGGGCUAUAGUUACUGAGCCAGAUCCCUACUUCUCUUCUCGGCUUGACUCUUAUACUGGGUUUGUUGAUUCCUGUGCUCUUGUUUCUGUAAACUAACCACUCCACUACUACUUUAAGGAUCCUAUCCCCGGUUUGAUUCUUUGUUUACUACUUUGUAUGGUAGUUGAGUUCUUACUUCUUUGUUUCAUUAAUACUUUCCUACUUGAGAGAAGAGUUACCUUACUUAUAGCUUAUUGCCUAAUUGCAGAAUAUUGGUCAUAGGGUAAAGAGAAAGGGUUGAUGCAAUCGGUAACUAUUUAUUUGAUACCUGAAUUCGGAUCUCUGUAACGAGCAACUCUGACGCUGGAGCGGAAUUCUUUCUUAUUAGUAAGGAAUGCUAGGUAAGUGGGAGUGCUAGGAAGGCGCAAGACUCUCGCAAAUAACUAUACAUAAUGUAUUAAUUAGUUGCUGUUAUAAACAAGUGCUUUUUUUAGUGCUUUGUUCACCGGUGUCAUUAACAAGUCCUAAUUUUCAUAUGUCUUUCUUUGUUGUCGUAGAUAUUAGGACUACCGCUACACUUACGUAGUUACUUGGUAGGUGCGAGAAAGCCUUUACUUUACCUCGCCUCGCCUCAAAGCCAGUAGCUGAAGAUUCUUAUAGCAUUGGUUACCGGGUGGGUUUCUUUGAGUCCAACCCCAAGCAUGAAAGGCAGGUCUUCAAGGAUAGGUCAUGAGCUGGAGCUAGGUAAGUCCGGAUAGGUAGGCGGGCAGGUCUAUCUUGCUUUAUACCCGGGUAGAGAAUAGAGUUGACUUCAAACUUGUAGAGAAAUCUCGCUACGAAAAAGUCAACUAUCCGCUUGUGUCUCUGUUACUAGUUUAGUGCGGUUAAGAGCUUACUGACGCCGAUGUACUUGUUUCAGAAUUCCACUCCUCCUCGUAGAAGAAGAGAAGAGAUGAGCCAGAGUAUGAUGAGACUGCCCUUCUUUACUAUGAAUUUGAAUGUAUCCAAGAGAAAUCAGUUAGUAUAAGAGAAGGUCAAAAGAAAGAGUUUCUUAUUAGUGGGAAGGCGCAGUGAUUGAAUAGUCACCCUACCAGAAUCUCCAUGGAAUGACUCGAUCCAUGAAGCCUUUCUUACCCACAUAUCGGGAUCUUUCUAUCUAGGUAAGGUUAGCCACAUUGAAGUUAGUGCUCCACCCCUUGGUAUGGUACCGGAAGCACUUUGUAUUGGUACUAAAUGUGUUUCCCUGCCUUGAUAGGAGUCAAGGGUAUCAGAGUUUAGAGUUGUAAGUAAGGAUUCUCCUAUAGAUACAAUUCCAGUCUGUCUUCAUUCAAUUGAUCAGUCUUCCAUUCCACUAUUCAAAAGUGAGAGUUGAGAGUGUAGGGAAGUCUCCUAUAGGGCUAGUACAUGUGUGACUUCCAUGCUUUGUAGGGCACAACAAGAAGGAGCGAAGCUGCGAGAACGAAUGGGAGACGGUCCAUGUUAAUAGAGCUCGCAUAUGUCGAAGAAAGAGGGGGGUAGAAAGAAGAGAGUGGUUCUAGAGUUGCUCACCUUGCAGGGACGGACGGAUUAAGCAGAAGCUGAAGGGCGUCAGGCAGAGGGUCUCGAAGUGAAGUAUCUUCGGCUUACCUUUUUGCUUGUUCCGUGUUAUAGCAAAUAGUAGAGCCAAGGUGAAGCUCCUGGAUCCGUAGCUCGGUAAAGGAAUGACAGAAAUAACUUAGCCUUGGUAGAUCAACUCAAGGUACUGACAAAGCUCGUAAGAACGCGGAUUCCAAUGAACAAGAAUAACGACUACUAGGAAUAGCAGGGCUAGUCAACAAUGGUUAAGUUGGAACACUCGCUUCUCGCUUCGAAAGUGGAGUAGUAACCAUUUUCGUAAUUGCCAUCCUAUAGGAGAGGAGAAACUCUUUAUUUCUAGUUCGUAGAGAUCCGAUUGAGAAGUUAUUGAUCUGGACAAUCCCAGGUUCGUAGAGAUCCCCGAUUGAGAAGUUAUUGAUCUGGACAAUCCCAGGUUGUUUGUUACGAAGGUUGCCUGGUCUGACUCAGCACAUAAUGAAAGGGCUUUCCUCCUACUAGAAGAAAAGGGGUCAAGUUCAUAUUCAAAGAAGGGAAUCUUGUCGGGAGCCCCUGAUUAGCGGUUGGAAGCACGACGGAAUCUAAAUAGACCAACGCGUGCUCCACCUAUAAAAGAUGGAAGAGUACGCUCGAUAUAUCACAGAGGAGGUAAUGGGGAUCAAUAGAUCUAGUAGCUCGUCCUAGGAUGGUACAAGCCCCAUAAAAUAGCAUACUUCGGGCCUUAUAAUCAGACUGCAAAUUCAAUGGAUGCAUACUUCGGGCCUUAUAAUCAGACUGCAAAUUCCAUUAGUUCGUAGUGAUCUAAUGAAAUGAAAUGGAUUGAGUUCUACAUGAUCUAAUGAAAUGAAAUGGAUUGAGUUCUACAUGAUCUAAUGCUGGGGUUAGGGAGGAGAGUGUGCGACCGCGAAGUGAUAGGUUGCUUCUGAUUUUGGAUCGGUAAUUCUAGAGUAGUCCCUUUCUUUUUUAGUGUAGAGGAUUAUUGCCCGAGCUGGCUGGAGCUUUUAGUAGUAUGUGGGAGCGCCCUUUCUUCCUUUCCAUAAAUUCCCACUAAAGAUGUUGGAGUGCUACAUCGUCGAGAUUACUUCGCUUGCCUGUUGACGGUUCCCUUUAUGUCAGGAUGAAAGACAAAUGAAUACAAUGUCAGAAAUGACCAGGAUGAAAGACAAAUGAAUACAAUGUAAGAAAUGACGCGAGAAGGGAAGUUUCAAGUUCAAAUACUGGUGUUGGCGAUGAUAGAGGCGAGGCAAUUCCCCGUUUCGGGUUUCAUUCUGUUACUACUAGACAAGUCAGUAAGAAUUCCGUGAUAGGAGCAAUAGGUAUAGGAGCCGAAUUAAGCAAGGCAAGUAAGAAGGAAGGGAGUUCAUUCCGCAAGUAAGAAGGAAGGGAGUUCAUUCCGCAAGUAAUAAUUCAGGGAGUGUAAUUCCGCAAGUCAUAAUUCAGUCAGGGUAUAAGAUAAGCGGGUACGAUCUAGCUCUGUACUAAUACAUGUCAGAAUAAAACAUAUAGGCUUUUCACGCAAUUGAUUCAAAGGUUCAGUUAAGUAGAAAGUGUCAUCGUACUAAGAAUCAUAGGCUCAAGCAGAAGCAAGAUAUGGAGUAGGAAUAAGAUCUGAAGCCGGGUGCUCAAUAGUGAGAAUUCCACUCCUACACAGUAGGGAAAGUGAGAAUGGAAUGGCAACGAGGGAAGUUGACUUCACAACCGCACCAGAGCUAUCAAGGAAAAUAUCCAAACUGGAGCUGUUGUUUGGACUGUUGUUUGCUUCUAAUUAAUAUCAACUAACUAAUAGAAUGACUCUAAGUAUUUUGACUCUAAUAAAACCACUAGUGGAAUUACGAUAAUCAACCUACUAUUAUGAAAUACAAAUAAGCAUAUGAUAAAUAUAAGUCAAUAAUAAACUAAGUAAAGUCAAAGAAGCAGAGACAGGGUAGACUAAGUAAAAGAAUAAUAGACAGGUUAGUCAGAUGAAAAGGAAGUAGAGGCGGGCUGCCAAUAGGGGGGAACUCACAAGGCAUUGAGGGUCGGUAGUGCAAGUCUUAUUCCCGAGUGAGAUUCAGCAUAUUCCCUGGUUCUCGGUGUUCUCAUUCUCAUCAGUAUCAGUGUGCGAUUCUUUCAGUUGGUCUUAUCAGCCUUGUAGUAUCUCGAAAAAAGUAUCUGACUUGAGACCAGUAUACUCUAUUUCAGGCUUGCGGUGAACUAUUGCAUUCUCAUCGGUAGUGUUUUCAGUCUAAUAGCUUUUAGAGGUUUCCAGUUUCUAAGUUCAAAAGCACUAGUGGAGUUCCUUAUUCAAAGUAUGAGUUCCGAGCAAAGGUAUUAAAGGCAGUAGAGCAGGAUCCGAAUCAGUAGUAAAAGAACGAAACUAUAAAUAAAGAGUUGAAACCAAGGAGAGGUAGAUUGAAAGGAGAGAUAUAGAAUGCAAAUCCGGAUAGUAAGCCAGUUUGCUAGCAGCUCCAAACUCUUAUUAACAGUAGUCCGAGUCUAAUAGGCAAUGAAAGCCCUGUUUCGAGUUAAAGUAUGAUUAGGCGCAAGUUCCAUUCUUUUACCACUUAGUAGAUUAUGAUAAUUUCCAUAGGCCUAUGCCUUUUAUUACACCUAUACAGGUAACAUCGUACCCAUUUAUAUGACUUAUCGGUUGGAUUCCGAGAAGCCAACAGGAGUUUGCUGCUGGUACAGCCUUGUUUGCUGUGUUUGAAGUCUCGGUAGCACUAGUUGUAGGUUGCAAGCUAAGAUAGGUAUACUCAAGCUGAGGAAAGGUAGGCUUGGAAGUAAGUGUUAAAGAAUAGCGGUUUGGGUAGCAAGGCUGUUAGGUUGUAGUCGAAGAGUGAAGGAGAGCAAUUGCAGGUUGAAAGCAAGGAUAGCUAGAGUAAACCCAAAGAAGGACAGGCUCAUAGGGCAGUAAAGAGACUAUUAUUGGUAGUAGUAGGGUGAUUCUAGUAGUGAGUUGGAAUGAGAGGGACUAAAUACAGAUGUAGAUUCAAGAGAUCCAGAGUGAAACUAGUACAAAUAGGAGUGUGUGAGCUGCAGCAUUGCUAGUUCCGAGUUCCAUUCCCCUUUCUCAAGUGAAAGCCCUAGUUCCGAGUUCAAGUCUCAGAGUACCCAAUUAUGGAUUCUUUAUUCUUUUAUUUAGUCUACUAGUUAUUAGCAUAAGAGUUAGCCCGGGGCAAGUUAGAUUUUCUAUCAGAGUCUCAGAGUGAAAUACAUGUUUGGAAGCUAUGAAGUAAGGCUUGGCAUGAACACCAACAAUAUACCGUAUUUGAAAGUCUGGAUCCUAAUCAGUAGCUCUAUAGUCUUCAAAGAAGUUUUUGGAUUCCUUGUUCCUAGUUGAGUUCACUGAGUUUACUUCCCUGUUCCGAGUUUAGUCUAUCAGAGGGGGGGUAUUGUCCAAUUCCUUAUUAAUAAUCAAAAGGAUCCGUAUUCUGUGGCGAAAGAGUCAAGGUAAGGGUAGCGAGCCUGUUUGCUAGUAGCCUGAUUAUUAUUGAGAAGAUUGAUUUCCUUAGUGUUGUUUUAUCUUACAACUACUAAAACUAGUAGCCUUAGAGCUAGUUCAUCUAAGAAUGGAAGAAGUAAGUACCAUACCCUUCCGUCGUGAGAGGGCAGGAAAUUAGACAGAAACCAAGUAUAGAAAGAACGUAAGACAGGAGUUUAGGAACGAGAAGCAAGAGAAUAAGGGCUGAGACUGUGGAUUGGCUGUUUGAUAAAGCUAACAAUCAAGGCUUGGCUACUCCGGGGCAUGUUGGUUAUGAUACCGAUUAUUUGCAUUCUUUCUUUGAGUUAGAAACAAGUCCUGUGUUCUGGAGCUACUGCCAAUAAGGUGGAAACAAGAGACCGGGAAUAACACACUCGAUAUAAAGAAUUGAGCCCUGCUGGCAAAGAAUCCAAAAAGUCAAAUAAAGAAAAGGAUGCCUUGGGAAUCUAGAGCGGAGCGGGUGAGUCAAAUACUUGAACUUAUGAGCCUAGGAAUGACAACACCCCAUAUAGACUUCAAAUAGUCCAAAUAUGAUUUGAAACACUAAUACGGCUACUCGAACAGCAGCUAACAAGACUCGCUUUCUUUAAGGACCAUGAGCCUGACCCCUAAUCCGACUAUCCUUUUUCUUAGCCUACUGCUACUUGCUUAAAAACUGUAUCUAGUGCUUAUAAGACCACCACUACCUAUACCAUAUAUAUAUAUAUGUAAGCAUGAACUACAGGAGCAAUAAGAAUUGACUUAAUGCCUAAUCGACUUGGACUUAUCAGUAGCUCCGUUCCUAUUAGCGGAGGAAUCAGACUUAUAAGAAGGAGUUGUAUAACUAGAGGCAGUAGCGAGAGUUUCAACCAAUAGAUAGGGAAUUUCUAUCAGUAGGAGCAGACCAAUCGACGGGGUUUAGUUCUUAUAUGACAAUUCAUUCUUCUAUUAUAUAUUACUCAUUAUUGAACGGUAUCGGAUCAAGUCUUGUUGAUCCUAGGUUGAUUCUUUCUAUUGAUCUUACUGGUCUUGUAGCGUAGGAACGUAUCCAUUGAUCUUAUUUGUCUUGUAGCGUAGGGCGAACGGUCUAGUCGAAACUUAGGGAGGACAUCCAUCUAAUGGUAGAAAGAAAGUCCGGACAUCCAUCUAAUGGUAGAAAGAAAGGGAGGACAUCCAAUCUAAUGGUAGAAAGAAAGUCCGGACAUCCAAUGGUAGAAACAACGAACAACGAGGUGGUCCAUCGCAUAUGCUAUGAAGGUACUGCGCCCCUGUAAUGAUUGAUUUUAGCUACUCCGUGGUGGGACCAAUCAUUCUGUGAGCAGCUAUGUGUGCUCUGGCCCAGCAACUACGUCUUCGGUCGUUGACUGAGAACCUACCGUGCUUUAUUGCAGACACCACUCAGAGAUAGAUAGGUCGGGCAAGCUCACAUUAUAUAUGAGGUCGGGCAAGCUUUUCGCUCGAUGUUGAUGAAAAAAAGUAAGGAUGAUAGUGGUCAAUACGGAAUGAAAAGAAACCACGAUACAGAGAAUGACUUCGGGAGGCGGUGGGGUGGACAACCUAAGAACGAGAUAGGGGAGCGAAAGAGCUAAAGAAAGGAUCGGUAUGGCACUAUGAUAUGGUAUGAUAUAAUAUGGUAUGAUAUAAUAUGGUAUGAUAUAGUAUGGUCUGAUAUAAUAUAUGGUAUGAUAUAAUAUGGAUGGUAGACGUACCCACCACAUAUCCAAGGGAGGAACAAACAAACCCAUAUUGAACUAAGUAGUCAAAGGAUGGAGCUAGGGACGGGAGCAGAUGUAGCUAGGUAAGUGAGGAGCGUGGAUCGAAAGAAGACAAGAUAGAGUUAAUCCUAUUGGGCCUAGAAUCCAUAGCGAACUAAAGGAUUAAAGGUAGGUAGGUAGGGCAGGUUAAGAGACAAUAGGUUGGUGCUUGACUUUAAGUAAAGAAGCGCUUGACUGAUACUUAUAUACUGGUGCAUUUUCUCCAUUAAUAUAGACUUGGUUAUCAACUUCCUAACGCUUCAGACUGGAACAAAACUACAGCCCGAUGACAAAAAGAAAAAGACAAAAACCGUUCUUUUACUACUUGCUUUCAUCCUUAUUGCUGUGGUUUGGUCUCAUAGUUAUGAUUUAGAAAAGCUUACAAAUUUACCCAAUGUAGGAUUACUAGUACAUUCCAUUCCCUGUAGGAUAACUAGUCAAUUUCGUGUAUCUAGUACAUUCUAGUUUGUUAAUAAGUACACUACCAAGCUGACCCUACCUCUCUUUCCAUUGGCACAACUAAUGCUAUCAAAAAACACUCAGCCAAGUAACGACUACAAACACUAAGAAUUGCAGAAUUCGGAUUAUGUCCACCAAGACUUCAAGCUUAUAAACUCCAUUCUGAAAGUAAAGAGCACAUUGGUUCGUUAGUGACCUUGUUCCAUCCUACCUGGCACUGGCAAAUGAUUAUGUUUCUGACCUUUAGUUCAAUGAUGACUUUUGGAUACAGAGCACUAGGCACGGCGUUACCGGCUUCUAUUAUACCUACCUCGCUCAAUCCUCUUAUUAGGUUAACGGUAUACCUCGCUCAAUCCUCUUAUUAGGUUUCUUUACUUGUAGUGAUACUCUUACGAGCUACUCAAUUCUUAAAGGAGCACAUGGUAGGCUCACAAUUCCAACUUUUCAAUUCCAUUCUUAAAUGACUACUUGAGAGAAAGAGAACAGUUAGUAACCCUAAUAUAUCAUGCCUAGUGGGUAACAAUAAUUCCUCUGUAGCUUGUCGAGUUCCACUUAUUGCGCAAAAUGGCAUCUUCUCUCGUAGACAGUAAAGCAAGCAAGCGCCAAUAACCUCUGCGCCAAUAACUCUCCCUUAUAUUAGCGCCAACCCAGAGAAAACUCAUUCAUGUGUCUCAAUUGUGAAUUCCGUAACCGUAAGCUGAAGUCCACGAAGAAACUUUAGCUGGCACACUUAGUAUCGUUUGGCCAGUUGAGUCUUAAGUUCAUUAUGAGUCUGGUUCUCUUCUGUCAACAACUCAUUAAUUUGCAUUUGACACUCCUUACGCGCAUAAAUAAAUAAUCUCAUUGUAAACAACUUUCCCUGACCCAGGAGAGGAUUGAGCGGUCAAGUCUAAAGUAUAGUUUGACUUUUCUCCUAUCUAUUAAGUCAGAAGCCGCAGUCGAGGAUCAUGCCCAAGAAUAGGUUACAUCGAUAAGUACUGAAUGGUCCGAGUGGAAUUAUUGUGGAAAUAGAAUCUGCCAGUUGUGUGCCCUUCUCGCGUAUGGCCCCAGUCCCACUUAAAGGGAAUAAACCUUCUUUGAUUUUCGUGGUAAAGCUCGGUUUGGUUUUCACUCCUUUUUCUUGGUUAGCCUACUCAGUAAUUCCGAACAACAGAACAAGCAAACUCUGAAAUAAGACCCUAGUUGAAAGAACAGGAAAAGGAGACAGACAUUUGGAUCAAACUCAUACUGGAAAGACUUCUUUACCACGUAACACGAUAGUAGUAGCAUUAUGAUCAAGCCCGGGAUCCUCUUCAAAGUAGGAAAGUUUCAUAUCGGCCAAGAAGAGAAGGAGACCCCAGAAAUCUAUUUCUUGUAAGUCGAGUUACUCCGUACCUUUCGUAUCUUUCAUCUGAGAACGACAGCAGGAAAGAAGCACUAAACAAACCAAAAUCUAGAUAGGGCUUCCAUAACUAAAGCAGAAGCGAAGCCCGCCGGAGCAUAGAAGGACUUAAAAGAACAGACCCUACACUACCACUAAAAAAGAGGUGACCGGCUACUAAAUACCAGUUCGUAACCCUUAGGGUGUAGCUUUCGAACAAUUGGCUUCUUUUAAAAGGUAGUUAAACGGGAUUCUAAUGAGAUUCUCAUUUCUUCUAUGAAUUCGAAUGAGAUUCUAUAUUCUAAUGAGAUUCUAUUUAUAUUAAUCCAAAAUACAUCCCUUGGCUUACAUUAAAUAGGGAAUUACUGGAAUAGGACGGACCGAGAGCUUCUCUUGCUCCAAGAUACCCUAUAUGAAAUGGAAUGUUAUGAUAUUUGCACCUAUAUGCACGUACUAUUUGGAAACUCAGCUCACCCACGGAUCUGGAAUCGCCCGAAUAGGGGUAUAAAGGUGAAAAGAGUCGACGGACGUGGCCAAGGGUCUUUGCUUUCGAGAGGAACGACCCCUCUCUUGGAUUUGGAGAGGUGGGUUUGCCGUUGCCUGCAGCUAAGUUACCAAGUGAGCGAAACCACCCGUAUUCUAAUCCGUCCAUAGGAGUUAUGCCAGCAAAGUCAACCAGGGUGUACCAACACAAAAUUAUGUAACGCCCGAAAGGGGGCUAGGCUCUUCUUCUGUAUGAGCAUCGAGCAUAAGACCUUUCACAAUAGGCCUAAGAAGGAAGUUCGCUCUUGACUAUGUUAUUGAUCUUGCUAACUCGUGAACUAACUAAAUCCAGUGGUUCUUUCCCGGCCCUGAGCUCCCUUCUAUUAGGCAUUUGAGCUAUAUGCUAUUAUUCCUCUUAUAGUAGCUAGAGAUCGAGUAUCAUACAAUUGAUCCGCUAAUAUGGUAUGCUCUUUCUAGGGAUAUAGCACUCUGAAAUAAGGUAGUAUUCCCUCUAUACUAAGCGACGGUCUGGUCCGCCUGUAGUUUAGAGCUUGCACGUAAGCAGUCAGCAGCAAUAACCGUAUAAUAACUCGGUAUUGGCAUGAACACAGGAAGAGUCAAAAGAUGCAUCACGGAAAACACCUAUUCUUCUGAAAAAACAAUGAAAGGUAGCACCUUAACCUCUCUCCAUGACCGACGUCAACUACAGAAGAUACUCGACUUGGACCACUACUAAAAGGGGCCUUUAACCCAUAAGGGGCGGAUUUGUAUGCUGAGUAGCAGUAAGUACUUGUUGAGUGAGUUGGGGCAAAAGGGAAGCUAUGUGUUUACUUGUGUUGGUUAACCUUCUUCUACUUCUAUCCAUACGCGCCUACCCGAGUAACAGGCAAUUAUCUUUGAACUCACAACUAAAUAAGGAAUUUCAGAAUGCAACUGGGGAUUCCACUAGCCGGAGCUCCUGCCGCCAUGAAUACAAGACUCGGGAACAACUCAUUAAGACAUGUUAUAUGAGUUCUUUACUUGAGCACUGAGUUCUGACUUAUGUCUUGAAUUCAUCCAUUACUGACUUGAGAGUUGAUCGGAGCCUACCCUCUUAUACCACUUAAGUGAAUUCUAGGUUUAUGGUUUUGUCUUCCAUUAAGGCCCUCCAUUACGAGUUUAGAGCUCAAUUCAAACUGUUGAGGUGGAUUCCCUUAUGUACCAACUCAUUCGGCUAAAGAACUUCACUUUUUGAUACAAUACUAAAAGAAAAGAGCAAGUAAGCAAGCUCCGGAACUAAGAGUGGUCGUGAUGUCCAGAGGAACUAAACUAACAAGUAGGAAAUGCGGAAUGAAAAUAGUACUAACAAGAACCAACCUCAUAACUAGGGCAGCGAACGAUGGCUACGGAUAACGAGAAUGCAACUUUGAACUAAGGGACUUGAACUCAAAACAAAGACUAACCCCGGGUGCUCAUAUUACUAAGGCGUUAACAGCAGACUAAAAGCUUGAACUAACAACUCCGAAUUGAACACUGCUUUUGAAGCCUGCCUUGCCUACACUCCUAUUCUAUAAUUCCUAUUCUAAUUAUCCUGACUUUGAUUGCCGCUCUCCCAUUUAAGUAUUCGACUACUUGCUUAAAGCCUGUGACUGCUAGCUCUGGGCUUGGCACUCCCCAUUCCCAUUCUUCAACAAAUGCCUAUGCAUCUUGCUUUACAGCUUCUCGGCCUGAAACUACCUACUCGUUCAAUUGUGAGUAUGCCUUUCCUGCCUUACAGUACGUAGUGCACCUCUUGACCUGCCCCUACAGCCUAUGAGUUUUGCUUUACUUGCUUUUGACUCUUGCCCCGUUCCCCAGUCAUAGUUAGGAGAUCGAUAUGAACAUCAUGAACUGUUUUUGUUGGUCGAAAGGUUUACACUAUACAAUGCUUCUUUUCGAAAUGAGUAAGGGCGACAUACGAAAAGGUGCACGUGCAGAGGUCUGUCUCUAAAAGUAUCUAAAAGAGAGAAAGGAAAAAUAGCUGCUUGCUUUUAAGGGGAAGUCCAGAGCGGCAAGGGAGAGAUUGAUUGAUUCUAAGGAAAGAUAGGCGUUCGGCUAACUCGCUUUACCCUUAUUCCAAAAUAGACGAUGCCACCGAUAGAAACGGCUCUGUGGGCUCUAAGGAAUGAGCCAGCUGACGCUGCCCUUGUGCUUGCUUGCUCUUACACUAUUGUUUCCUUCUUGUUUCCUUAAAGAACUCUUAUUUCGGCAUAACUGCAUUGCUUGCUUAAGAACGGUGCGCACACAGAUGAUAUGAUAGAUAGAGUAGUAGUAGUAGUAACCUAAUUCUGAAACUCUAAGAAGCUAACCGAUACGAUGAUGAAAGAAGCUAACCGAUACGAUGAUGAAGAUAGGGUUAUUUGAGCCUGAAGACAAGAAUUCACCGGGUGCAACUCAUUCACGACGCGCUGGAACUGAAUAAGGGUAUUAUGUGACUUAUUUCUAUAUGUAUGUGGGUAGCUCUCUUCUGAUUCUAACAACAAGGAAGCGGUGUUUUCCAUAUUAGAGUAACGCUCUCUUCUCUAAACUCACGUAAGCAAAAAUGGGUUAAGGUCUCUGUUUCUGUUAAGAGAGUUCGGGGAACAAGCAAACAAGCUGUUUUCUUACCUGUCAGCAGUGUUUUGUUAACCCAUUACAUAAUAGGUAUACUCACAUUCCACCAGUGUUUUGUUACCCCAUUACAUAAUAGGUAUACUCACAUUCAACGCGCAUUAGCUUAUUCGAGUUUCUCGGAGCUUAGAGUGUUUAUUACUGUGUCAUUCUAUACAUGGUGCCUAUGUCUCUGGCCUUAUUGCCUUAUUGUGUAGGAGCCUUAUAAAUCAAGUAUCUUCAGCAAGCAAGGGAACAAGUAGAAACCAUUCGUGCUGUACGCCUCUUUUGCACUAUCCUACACUAAAACGUUAGCGCUCCAUUAGCUUGUUGAGUUCAGACACGCACGUGAGCUUUGUUUUGAAGCAAUGCAUUGAGUUUAUAGAGUGUGUUUACAUUAGUCAGAGUUAAGUAAGCAGGAAGCAGUCAAGAGUAAGGUAAGCUUUGUUGUUCACUAUAUUCCAUACGAUGUGCACCGGAAGAAGAUAAGCAAACAAGUGGUAGAGUUAUGUUACUAGAUUAUAUAAUGGGUGUAAGAGAGAAUCAAUUAAAUGAACUCGCUACAGCGCUUAAAUAUACUAAAGCAUGUUCUAAACUCGCGGAAGCACUUGUCGAACUCCCUCCUUAUGGAAUGGAAUCGUAACCUAACUGAAGACUCCCUUCUCGCUUAACUAUUUAGUAUCCAUCUUUCUCGCUUAACCAUUGAGUAUUGAGUAAAAACACUGCAUUGCUUUCCCUAACCGACUUGAAUAUGCUGAAUGUGCAUACCCUAAUAUAUAAAGAAGGAAGUACAAAAUAUAUAAAGAAGGAAGUCAAAAACACCUAUUACCGCUUGUUCCCAGAGCAGCUAUUCCUUCCUUUAAUAACUAAGGCAGGGCUUGUUCCAGUUAAUAACUAAGGCAGGGCAGGGCUUGUUCCAGUGUGCUUUCCCUUGCUUGUAUCUGAGACGGGGGUGUGCUUGUUUCGGUGUGCCUUCCCUUUGACUGUUGCUGAUGGGGAGAAGACAUAUACGAGGACAGGACUUGGUUAUAACUCUCAAACAGGACAUCUUUUACUGCUUCUUUUGCACUCUCUUCUCUUUAUAAAUAAUAACUGAUUCAACAAUCACAAUAACUCUCUCUUUUCACUCGGGCUUGGCUCCAGUUGACGGGGCUCCUUUAGCCUUUCAAUUAGCACUUGCCCAGAAACUGUUAGAAUGUAUUUCUUACGAGUUAUGCUUUAAAAGUAGUAGCUUGGCCCCUUCUUUCUGUCGACAAUGAUGAAAACCUGCCAGAAAGUCGAGCCUUUCACUUCAUUGUUCAAGCUCUUUCACAUGGGUUGAGUUCAUACAUAUUGAAUGCUUUACUAUUUCAGACAUACUCCAAAUUCCUUCCUUUGAAAGCUACUACAACUACCGAAGCAGGCUUGCAUCUUUUGUGCUUACGGGGGUUUUCCAGAGAAAGAAGAUCCGGUUGGGCUUUCUAGUCUUGCCGUUGCCUUAGUAGGUUGCUGCUGUACUUCACCCAUGUUACUCCAAAUCCUUCUUAUUAGUUGUAUAUAAAUGGAUUCUUAUUAUCUUGCUUGUUUUCUUUCUUGUUUUAUGGUAAUAGAUAGAAAGAGAAAUUGACCAGUGGAAUAUAGGAGAUAAGGCAGUCAGUGGAAUAUAGGAGAUAAGGCUAUGGAAAACCGGAAAUAGAUUCCUAUAGACACUAAAUAUAGACGACCAAUUGAAAGGUAUGUAGCCCAGUCACUUCCCCCUUUUAUGGUACUCAAUCAUAGGGGUUCAAUUCUAUCUUAGGCGAUAUCAGGUUUACCUGCAGGCGAGCAAUAAGUUGUUCUCACGCUUUCUGGCUCAGUCAAGUGAACAAUGGUUGUAUAGGUACUUGGACAGAAGAUUAGGGCUCUGAUAACUUAGCAAAGAUCACACCUCCUAGAAAUGCUAUAACUGAUGUUCAAUUACCGCACCUAAUGAGCUUGAAUGGAAAGACCUUGGGGCAUCGAUGAAAGCAUCGACAUGUGAUCAAAGUACCAAAACAGCGUUGGCAUAGGUAGGACUGGACAAUACCACUUUCAUUUGAAUCGGAGGUUGGGAAUGACUAUUGGAUUCUUACUACGCCCCGGUCUGGAAUCUGUAAAAUAUCAUGGAGGGGGCAAGUGGCUCACCUUUCUCAGGUUAAAGAGAAGAUUCACACAUGCAGCUCGGACAAAGACUCACUUCAAUACCAAAACCCCAUAUGUAUCUAUCCGCAAUCGAAUGAGGCUACGAAAAGUGAAGCGUGAUCUCUCUUAUUUAGAAAUGUAAAACUAGUGAGUCAGGGACUAUGGAAAGGAAAGCCAUAAAAGGGAUAGACGUUAGCCUAGGAGCUGAGCUCGUAGAAAGGGCCUACUCCGAAAGAGAGCUAGAAUCCAUUCGUGCAAGGGUUGUCGAAAGGAAGGUUGUUAGCUAAGGUGACAAUAGAACGAUAACGAUAUAUAGCUGUAAAGAGAGUACUUGAGUAGGAAAAGAGAGUACUUGAGUAGGAACGAUAGAGAGUCAGUCGCUCACCGCUGUCCAAGGCAAUUUCAUAACCAUCGUAUGCCCGCCAAAGAGACACUAAAGAACAGAGAAGAUAUCGAUGACGUGGGCAAAGACAAAGAGGAAGCGAGCUCAGUCGAAGUCAGUUCAGUCGCUUUCGAGCAAGUAGGAAGUGGGGUUCUCAGCCUUAUUCAAAGACAACGAGUUGCUCUGGUUCUCAGCCUUAUUCAAAGACAACGAGUUGCUCUAUAAAGUAAAGAUUCCGUUGGGGGAAGCGAAGCAGAAAUCCUAUAUUCCAUUUCAUCUCAGCGGCCGCACUUCACUUCAUUAGCGGAUCCAUCAACUACUAUGGAUCAAAAGAAUCUGUACAUUGGGGUGUGCUUUGAUAGCCUCUUUUUCAAAUGGUCAGUUUGGUUUGGGACGAGAGGGACUCAAAUAGUAGUCACCAAAAGCCAUUGGACUAUGUUAAAGGCUUUUUUUUGAUAAUCAAAGGUACUUUAUUAGUUUGUAUAAAAGCACAAGGCUCUGCAAGACCUAGUCAAAGUAUCAUAGCUACGUAGGAUGAACUUGGGCUGGGGAGAGUGGAGACCCUUCAAAGCCAGAUCGAAAAAACACUACAAAAAGACAGAAUAGACACAUUAGAGACAAACAAUAUGGAUUUCUAACAAUGUGAAGUUCAAAAGAAUGAAGAGUUUUCCUCACAUCAAGGAAGCGAAGCUUUUCUUUACCGGGUGAAAAAAGGAUAAUAACAAGGUAGGGAAAUGGCCUUGUUGUACUUCCACAAAGCGACACAGCCCUUUCUUAGUGGGAUGCCGCUUUACUUCUCUCGUUCAAGGACAGUCUUAGUUGCACGACGUGCCAGAUCGAAAUCCUAAUCUUUGUAGUAGACAAUUCACUGUUUUCAAAAAACGUACAAGAAGAAAAGAAGAUGGACAGGCCUAGAUCGUUUAUACAGAAAAAAACCCUAUCGAUCCCUUAGAGAUAAGAGAAAAACUCAGAUUAUAUCGUCCUUGGUCAGCUUACCGAAGAAAGGUCGCUUGUUGUUGCUGACUCUACGAUCCAAAUCCAAAACUGGAUUCUUCCUAAAGGUCGUUACCACCAAGUCUCUUACUAACCGCGGUGGUAUUACUAGCGUCUUCAAUCAACUCAUCGCUCAAUUCGAAGAAAUCCGUUUUCCAGAAAGGAAUGAUACGCCCCGUCUUCCCCUAUGGGUCUUGUUUUACCCAGUCUUGCCCUCCGAAAGCAAUAUUCUAAGAUUCGUCCUUAUCGCGCUUUCAUAAGGUUCGGGCUUACCCCACACUCAGAAGAAUAAGGAAGACUCAGAUUGAGAUUCCGAAAAAGGCUCCCACCCUGCUUUUAUCUCUCUUCGGUCUUCGUCGAUCGAGUAGUUCGCCCCGGCAAACUGGGUGACCGGGACUACCAUAGAGUAUCAUGCGGUACUACUCCUCAUUAGAUAUGGUUCUUUCUUCUUUGUCCAAUACACACGGUAGGAUAUGGGGAAUUGUCGAGACUAGGAAGGUUUGGAAAUGAACGAGUAGCUUUAGGUAGCUCCAAGAUCGGAAAGAUAGAGGUAGCUCUAAGAUCGGAAAGAUAGAGUUGUAUGGUAUGAGAAGCUUGAAUUCCUAUUAGAAAGGUCUGGGCUAGGAGUCGAUGGCAUAUCCCCUGGAGGGCAAAGCUACUGGAGAUGGCUCUCGUUUGACACUAAUCCCGAUAUUCCAAAAGAUGCUCGACCAGAAGAAGAUGCCGACACAAGGUUUGUUGUUUAGCCAGUAGCUCGAGUUGCAGCUGACUUUAGGAAGAAAGGCUUGGAUUUCGCACAAAGCAAUCGGUCUAUGAUAGAAGUCCUUAUUUUACGUCAGGCCAAGUGCUCUGUUCUGUUAUCAUGAACUGUAUUUUAUGGGCUGGGUUUAUGGCUUGUGUCAGCAGCAUUUCCGUCUCGCAAGGUGGGGUCAUGUCAGGGCUGGGCUGUCCAGUUGCAUUUUACCCGGUAGCAAGUCGACUUCCUUUCCUAAACUGGCAUCCGACAAGUGAGUGUUUUUCCGGUUUCAAACAGUAAGGGAGGAUGAUUGCAUUGCAGGAAAGAUGGGCGGCAUUCCUAUUUUAUUCCCAAGCAAAAGAAAGAAGAACUCUAACAACUGAUAUAGAGACAAUCGCUAUUAAUUGAACACUUACUAAAUCUCGAUGCACCGCUUAGCAAUUGAAUCACUAAGAGAACACCGCCUACGAUCACUCAUACUCAAAGACGUUUACUGUAAUAGAACUGGCUCCUGAUAUGCCAACACAGGACCAGAAAGACCGGUUAUUUCUCCAACAACUUCUUCUUGGUUAUAUAUGUAACCCCUAUUCUUGAAAACAAGCCAUUCUUGCAGGGACAAGGACCGAUUAUUCCUAAAAAACCGCUCCGCAUCUAAGAUCACGAGAUGGCAUGAGCUUGUUCAGUGCCACAGCUCUAUUCUAUUUUCUUUAAGAAGUUCUUUCAGAGUCAGAGCCUUAUACUUACUUAUAAAAGGGCUUGCUUAUACUCACAAGAAUACACGGAAGAGAUAGACGCCUUCUCCACCCACAAUCACAAUUGGACUCAAAAGAUCUUUUCUCAUAAUAAAGGGAACAGAGGACUUAGGGGCGUGCCAAAUCCCUUCUCCUGUUGAGGUCGGCAAAAGAAGUCGAUUGCAAAGGAGUUAUUGUUUCCUCUGUGACAGCAGCAAGCAACGAAGCGGGAGUUAUUGACAGUUUGAAAAUGCCCUAUACAUGAAGCGCCGGAUCUCCUUUCUUCACAGGUCUUUCCAAGAGUCGAAGAUGGAUUCCAUUCUUUGUGGAAUGAGUGUAAUUGGAGAAGGCUUCUGAGCUGGAGGUCCUAAUUGACCGUCUAACCUUCCAUUCCAGUUGUCCCAGCCACGGAGUCGGAAUCACAUUACAUUAUGAGCUGGAUCCCAAAGGUGGUUUCUGAGAUAAUGCUAACCGAGGCUAUUGAGGCACGAUAUGAGGCACGAUAACAAACUGCCCGAGGCUAUUGAGGCACGAUCGAUAUGAGGCACGACAAUAAACUGCCCAUAUUACAUCGAAGCCAAAGGAUAAUGUUUCCUGAUGUGGUGGAAGAACACGUUAGUGAAUCGAUAGGGCGAGAUACGACAGGGCGCAGAGGCAAAAACGCCUUGGCAGCAGCGGAGAGUUGUAAAGAGGCGAUGGUUAAGAGGGUAGCGGCUGUAGAAGCAUAGGCAACCUAGAAGCAUAAGGUUUUUUUCUUGUGAAGUUAACAGUUCAGUUCAGUUUGUGCAUAUUCCAGAGCCGUUGUUACUCACUUUGCUUUGUUAUUUGUAACAGAGGCUAGAGAAAUAAGUUGUAACUGUCCGGGGCCUGUAUCGUAGCGAGCAGGCUACUUAAUCCGUAUUUGUUUUAGCUGGACAAACAAUGUUGUCUUUAUAUAAUUGUUGUUCUAUAUGUAGGUCCGUAUCAAGACCCGAAGAUUUGAGAAAUGCCUUUGCGGUGAUUAUUUAUCCCAUCCACAAUGGAAUCGGGGCCGACAGAUGCUGCAAGAGAGAUGCACCGCGCUACCCUUUAGCAUUUCCGCCCAUCAAUGGAAUCUGGGAUCGCCAGAAUUCGAGAGCUUAAUUAAGUAAGGAGUAAAGGAGGAAUAAUCCCUAUACUUACUGCAGCCUUAUGUCCUAUUCCCGAAAUUAUGUAUAGCGAGUACUUUGGGGCGAUUGAAUCGUUAUGUCCAAAAUGCUUUUACUAAGCUGAAGUAAAUGUAAUCCUCAUUUCAUACUUUGUGAAAAGAAAGCACAGGCAAAGGCUUGCGCAGGGGGUAUCCGCACUCCCCUGAUCUCUAAAGAUCGAUAGCUCUACUUCUUCUUACCUCCAUUUGAACUUCCUCUUUGAUCCCCAGCUAUGCUAUUCUAUCAUCUUAAGGUAUCGUCGAGUUAAAGUCUUAGAGGUUUAGCUCCCUAGUUAAGUGGUAUGGUUCGAUCUUUAGGGGCGAGAAGCUUCUCACAGAGAUAACUCGCAUAUGAAAGAAAGGAUGCUUCGCUUUUGCCCAUUGGAAGGCAGAAAAAGCAAAUGCAAACGGUACAGGAAAUGGGGCUAUUUUGAUCACUCGCGAGGCAUCUUCCAUUCAUUUCGACCGUCACCUAGACUUGUUGUUGCUCCAUAAUUACCACUAAACUUCUAUGCAUACGGAAGUAUUUAUAAGUUAGGUUUUUACGAUCUCAGGUUGUCCGCUCGACUGCUUUGAAAGAAAGGACAACUGUUGUGAUUCUACGGGUUAGAGCAUUACUAGUUGCUCUUAGUAGAUGGCCGGGCACUUCCAAACUACCUUGAUUGAUUCCUUAAUUAACGGCCUAUUUUUCACAUAACUCAGCCAAGCUAGUAAAUUGCGCCUAUAUAUUAAUCCACUCUGUCUCCUCGAAGCGAGAGUGAAAAAGUACGACUGUCUCUGUAAUCACUAUUAUUAGCACCCAUCUUUAAGCGUGGCCAACCAACCGUCAAGACUAACACAAGGGAAACUAGUAGAUAGACACUCCGAAGGUUCAUGUGAAGAGGUUCGUGGAAGAGAUCAUGGAGAGACCAUACCAUACAUAAGCGAGCUCGUUUUAAGAGCUCUUCUGAAAGUUGCGAGCCAGGGCCCAGCCCAAGACUAAGGGGGUGGGUGUAAGAGAAAGUGUACUUUAAUUGCAAGUUUGAUCAUGAAGAUCAUAUCUUAGCGAAUGCCCAUAUAAGUAUCCAGUAAGGAGAGGAGUAAGGAAGCAAAGCGGUGAGUAAAGGAGUCAGGAAGAUCUGAAUGGGUGCUCUCUGGUUACAAAAUGCUAUAUGAGGAACACACGCUAUCAACAAAGUGAGAAUGGAAAUGAAGUGGAAUCUAGCUUAGCAUUCAUUGGGUAAGUAUAGAACUGCGUAACCAAACACCUUAAGGGUAAGGCGGGAAAGGUGGACUCGGAAAAAGAAAAUCAUUGGCCAUGGUUGAAAGAGCUGAGCUCCCCGUGACGUGUUAGCGAGUUACCUGUAUGGCGUUAGAGAAGAGCUAUAUCCCGCCCUAUGUGUCAGAUUCAAGGAAACCCACCCUUGUAAUGGAUUCUGACCAGAACCCAACAAGUAACUACUAGACAAGCCGGCCAAGGUGUUAGUAGCAGUUGUUACUUAGUCCGACAAACAGACAAGUCACUUUUGAGUAUUUAUAACUACAUCCUGAGUUAAGAGUUUAGGUAUGAAGUCUAUACAUUGCUUGGCGGAGCAAGAGUCUAGUAUCUAAUUAGGUAACAGGAUAGGACCUUCGCUUUCAAGUAAGUAGCCUCGGUCAAGUUUCAAGUAUGUAGCCCUUGUUGUCGACAGCAAGCGGUGAUUCCAAACGGAAAGUCGCUAAGGCAUAGAGAGCAGUUUCUCGGCUUUCCCGAGUGGGUGGAGGUUGGGGAAGAAGAAAGUGUAUAUCCUAUAGAAGCAGGACUAUAAGCAAGAUCCGAAAGAGUUCAUUCCGUUUCUGUCGAGGUCCAGUCUAAAGUUGAGUUCAAGAUUCCAGUCAAGUUCGUUCCGUUGCGAGUGCUGCUUCUUCACUGCAUUGCUGACUUUCUUUAUAGAUUACUUUCUUUCGUAGAGACUUUAGACGACGAUACAUCUCGCGCAACUAAACGUCGUAAGGGGCGAGUUUGAAGUCAAGUUAGUUACUAACGAAAUAAGCUUAUGCCGUUGCUUGGGGGUAAGAAAUGAUGGAUGCUAUAGGAAUACCACUGUAAUAUACAACUAUAGGAAUACUAUUCUACAGGACGAGUCUCUCUUAACUUACCUUUAAUAUACAACUAUAGGAAUACUACAGAUAGUACGAAUCCAUUCUACACUGAUUGGGUACGAAUCAAUUCUAUAUAUGGUUAUGGUCUCUCCCUUAGCACUCGGCACUAGUGUAAUAAAUGUCAAAUCUAGUAUUAGUCUUCAUAUAACUUGCGAAAUUCAAAACCAAUUCAAUAAGGAUCCACACUGACCUGGGGAUUCGAUCUUGCUCCCUAUCACCUUUUUCACGGAAAAUAGAGAAUUCCGGAUCUGAUCCUAAUCCUAGUUCGGGACUGACGGGGCUCGAACCCGCAGCUUCCGCCUUGACAGGGCGGUGCUCUGACCAAUUGAACUACAAUCCCUGCGAGGUCACAACAAAGAUAGAAAUUUGCAAACUUUGGACUAUGUUAUCAGAAAUCGGUUAAAGGGCCCUCAUCACAUGGUUCAAUCUCAUCUAUGUCGAUGUCAGAUUGGUACGUGUAUAAAUGGAAUAUAUCUUGUUAUGGGUUUAGUCAAAGGAUACAAGCGGGGUUGGCACUGCAUUAUCUUUAUCAAAAUGCAAACACGAUAGAAAUUCGCCUUUUGCACUCACUUUUGGGGAGGUAAAUCCAAUUGAUUGCUCCUAAAUAAACCCUACUCAUCAUCCAUAUUCUUAUUCCUAAAGAAAAACCCCGCAUAUAUCUUCUUAUUCCUAAAGAAAAACCCCUACUCAUAUAUAUAUAUUGGAAUAUCAUUAGCAUACUAUGGUAUAUAUCAUGUACAUCUAUUAUGCAGUAGACUCAUUGAGUCGUAAGCAAAGGCAUAUAUGAAUCACAACAGCUGACAGAGACUUUACCUUAGUGGAAGCAGUUCCUUAAUUAUGGACCCGAACCUUUUCUUAUUUAUCUGAACCGCCUAUUCGUGGGACAGCGCUAACUUCCCUGGGAGAUACCAGCCCAACUAAGGAGCCCGCUCUCAAAUAUGAUCCAACUUCUUCCCUGCGAACAGGAAGUACCUUAUCCUUAAGUACCGCCCCGUGGGUCUAUAGUGCCCCAUGACGAAAGAAAAGAUUAUUAAGCGAAUCAGAAGAGAAGAGGAACAAUGAAAUGAUUCAGGGGGAAAGCAAAGUCAAGCACGAAAUUCUCUUAGAGGGGGAAGGCACCUAUGAAAUGCAGGGGGAAAACCAAGUCAAGCAGGAAAUUCUCUUAGUAGCGGAAACCAUCCAUUAUCCUUCGCUUCUUACGAACUUGAAGCAGAAAGAAAGCUCAAUUCACCAUUUUCUCCUUGUUGUUGUGAUGCAAAAAACGGACCCCUUUACUUUCCUCGGGGGCUACGACAAUUCCAUCGUGCUAUGAGCAUUCCGAAGAAGAACAAAUGGUAUGGAUUUGAUUCCACACAUCCUAUAUUUAUUUGAUAUCGGGGUGUGUUAGUGAGUAGCAGAGUGCCUAGCUGAGUUCAACAAGCUAGGUGGGGUUUGGGGCGAGUGAGUUUGCCGGCUUUCACCGACGCUUAUUAUCGUUUUUCAUCUGACUUGAUUAUAGCGUAUGUGCAUUCAUUAUAUUCCAUUCUUUUCCUUCGAUAACAAGUAACGGAAUAAGAUCUUAAGCCGGGUCUGGGUCUGCCAAUUCAGUUAAGGUCGACAAAAGGGAAGCUGGUAAGCUCGGUUAGUAUAUACUCAAUAAUGAAACAUCGGGAUACAAAGCACUCUAAGGACAGAGGCAGUCGAAUGCUUAACUAGACGACAAAGGUAUAGGCAUAGGUUCAACUUAGAGAUCAGAAGCAUCAGGAGUAGGAACUUUAUAAGAUGCCGGGUACAACGCAACAAAGCAAGUAGGGCUGGUCAAUGAUUCAUGGAGAAAGUGGUUGUUCAAUUCUUUGUUGAUCCACCAGUAGAUUAAUAGUCCGGAAAGUAAGCUCGAAAGAUUUCAUUCCACCCUUUUCCUUCUUUCGCUUCUUCACUCCAAAGCUCCGUAUUUGUUUGUUGCUUCAGCGUUAAGUAUUGCCUAUUGAGUUAGAAGAGAUCAAUUCCAUGGGUAAAGUUGAAAACGUAGAAAAGAAAGAAAUAAGUAAAUAAGCUAGUGCAAAGGCAGACAAGCGUAUACUAGGUCGGUGGAGCUCAAAGUAAGCCAGUUCUUGUUUGAGUUUCAUCCCCAGUAGCUGGAUAUCCGGUUGCAGAAUAGCCUGUUCCUGUUUCUGUUUAAGUAGAAGCAAGAGCAGAUGAGGAAACAAUGCAAGCGGUUCAAUUCCAAAUAGAUGCUGUCUCUUUAUUUCGAUACCACAUGUGUUCGAUAGAUUGGAUUCCUCUAUGCUAUGGCGCACUCUAAGGUUGCAAUGUUUGACUGUCCCUACAGCUAGGCUCAUGCUUUAUGGGGCAAGGCAAGAUGGAUUCCUGUUUGACUUUGUCCCAACUUUCUUUACAGCUAGGUUAAUACGAGAUAGAGAGUCAAGAAAUGAUUUUAUGCGCUAACGGUAAGGGACGGGAAGGGAACAAACACUGGGCAGGUAGCCGAACCUGCAAGGGAAAACAAGUAUCUGUCCUGAAGUAUAGUUCCGCGUCCUUUGUUCGACAGUCCAGGCCCAUACAAAGUAGCAUCAGGGAAAGUCGUUGAAGAAGCCUCAUCUCUUUCUUUUGUUUGCACACUCAGCGGUUAAGGCGCUUGUAAGGAAAUAUUCCAAGUAUAAGAGGUAAGCCGCAAGCUACGUAUUCAAGUGGAUAGUCAAGAGUUCGGAAGCUAUGCUGUGCUGUUUACUAUAUUCUCUAUUUUGUUGAUUGCGAUAGAGGUGAUUUGCUUGUUGGGUAUGUUCCUGAAGUGGAGUCUCUUUCUGCUAAAGAGGAUAAGUGUCAAAGUCUCUAUAAGCUUAAUUGCGGGAAGGUAAGUUUCAAGUUCCAUUCCUACAAUACGAUCUUUUAGACUCCAAUCUUUUCUUGUUUGACUUGACUCUGCCCUGCAGCUAGGUUAAUAUGAUGCAAGAGUUCUCAAAGAAAAGUAUAUGCGCUUCUAGCUCUUUUCGAAACUUCGCCCUCAGGAUCAUAAGUGGAAUAAUUCCAGUUCGAGAAGGUGAACUCGAUAUGUCUUUAUUUCAAUCUAUACUAGGUUCCGGUGCUUGCUCUCAAGAUGGAAAGAAAGUAUUAGUUGACUUGUGACUCACCGCUAUGCGAGAAUAAGUAUAGCUUUCUUAAAGCGCCUAGCCUCGCCCAACUUAAGAAACAAACUGGAAUCGAAUAUACCAACAAGUUCCUGCUCUAGGAUCAGACUCAGUACGGGGAAAGUCCACUCUUGAAUAAAAGUCGAAAGCCGAAACAAGAUCAGUAUCAGAGGCAACAGCUAUAUCCGGAGUCGGAACUUGAUCCAAAGUGGUAUCCGGAGUAGGAUCCAUAAGCUAGAUCAGGUAAGAAAGCGGAAGGUACAGUCUCAAGGGGAAAAGGGGUCAAGAUGAUAGGAUAGGCUCCAAAUGCAUUAUAAGGCCUGUUUCUUAGGCUACUGGCUUCAAUUCUUUGUUUCAAGGGGAAUUAUUCUACUUGGUGGAGACUGUGAAGUUACUAUUUAUAUGAAUUGUGAGUUAGAAGCCUUAGCGAGUGGCGCCUAUGAUAUUCGUUCUUAUCUGAAAGUCAGCAGUCAAGGGUUUGUUUGUUUUUACGACAUUCUCUAUUAGGAACGCAUUAUUCUAUACUUUAACAGUAGUGCGCUGGGCAAUAAUGUAGGUUGGUGCGGCGUAGUAAAGGGUAGUGCUUGACUUUCCUGAGUAUACGAGUGGUUUGGGUCGGUUCAGUAAGGAUGCACAGAUGCAAGAAAUAAGUGCUAACAGAGUAAGUAGAGCAGAGCUUCCAUUGGAGAUGCCACUGAUUCACUUACCGCAACACAAGCACCGCCAGCUCACUAGUACCGCCCUAUAAGAUAUUAAAAGGAAGGAAAUAAACUGGAUUGACUUUUCAUGGGGCUAAUCUUCUUUCUUUCUCUUUGUUGGUGUCUGUCCAACUGGUUCUAGAGGCCGAGCGAGGGGUAGGAUCUGAUCCUUAUUUUCGUUAGUAGUGAUGAGACAACCAAAAGCAAAAGAAGAGGUUAGAGACGGCUCAAUUAAGAUAACACAUCUUUGCUCGAACUCAACAUGCCCCGAGAGUGAGUCUUAGCACAAGUCAAGUCAGCGAGUUGUUGUUGCGGAGUGCGCCUAUGAUAUGAGUGACUAGAGCUCGGAAUGAGGUUACUAUUGCAUAAGUAUAUUAAUAUGGCUUACUCCAGAAAUUCGAUUCUUUAUUCAAUCCAUUCUAUUCUUUAGAGUCAGCAGUAAGGAGUGUUGUUGCUGGGCUUCCACAGUAAGAGGAGUGUUGUUGCUGGGCUUAUACAGUCAGGAGUCUUGUUGCUGGGCUUAUCUAUUUGAUUUGUAACGCUCAUUUCUAUUCCUUAGAGUUUUAGGGCAGGGGUAAAGACACUUUAUUAUCUCAGAUGCUUGGUAGAUUCCAUGAGUGGUUGACUUCUCACUGAAAAAGCAACGAACAAGCAACCUAACUGAGUUAGCUCCGUUAGCGCAAACAAGCAACCGUAACCACUACGCCUAUUGCUCAAAGUAUCGUCUAAAGUUGAGUAGCCAGUUGCAAGAGAAGUAAUAAGUCUCGUAGAUAGUCUUGUUUUUGAAACCCGGUAAGGAAGUAAAGUCAGGAAGUCAAAGGGAAAAGAUGCAACUGAAUAAGCCUGAGUUCCUGAAUAAGACUUAGUUACUGAAUAAGACUUAGUUCUACAAGGAAGCAAAGCAGUAACGCUAUCAACAAAACAAAAGGCUUUCAAAGUAAACAGCAAGUCGGAGAGUGAAGUUAUGCCCUUUAUGCAAGAUAGAUGAAAUUCCGGAAAGUAAGGAGAGCAAGUAACGGAACAGCGCAAACAAGUGUACGAUCAAAAACAAGUUAGCUAAGAGGUUGUCCUGUAGAGUAGGUUUGAACAAGAUAUGAAACUAGCUUUAGGCAAGAAGUAGCAGCCGUUGGGCCUUAGCUUCCAGACUAUGAGUUUGGGGGGUGCUAAUGUGAGUUUAAGAGUGAAGUAAGCAGUGAGGAGUGAUAGUACCCUAUACUAUAAUCCAAUAAGGAACAAAGGAAUAAAUAAGGAAUAAAGGAAGAGUGGAUAACAAGCAACGUAUAAACUACUAACCAAGCUACGUUGUAAGGCCAAGUAACGGUUGUUUGAUUUGAAGCUGCUAAUCGUUUGCUAGUUGGGUCAGAAGGACGGACAUAAACUUGGACCACAACGCGCCUCAGAAGGACAGAAAGAAUAGGAACAAUCGAAUAGCACUGCUUCAGAAAGACAGAAAGAAAGAGUACAAUGGCGCUUCAGAAAGCUUAUAUUCUCUUAAAGACGACGCAACAGAACAAGUCGUAAUACGCUUAGAGCUGCAAGUAAGUAAGGAGUAAGCUUUCGUUUUUGACUCAAUUAGAUCAUAUCAUAUGCUACUUAAUAGGAUUCUCAAUUCCAUGUCUUAUACUGCGGAUUCUUUGGCUUAAGCAUUUGAUCCCAAUCUACCUUCUGUCUGAGAGCACUUCAGAUCCUUCUCUUUCCCCUGCUGAUGCUUCCUCUCCUGCUGAAGCUCUUGUCGAACUAUACUUUUCCUUUGACUUCGAGCAGUAGGGCUAGUUCCGUCUAGAAUCUCCGUUCUAGUUUCAUCUUAUAAAGAAGAAGACUGAAUGUACCCUUGAUAAUGCCCACGUAGCUUGGCGCAAGUAAGAGUCUCAAGUUUCAAGUCAGGUUGAAAGAAUGGAAGCAACGGAACAGAUCUUGUCGUUUAGGCUUUCAUACCAGGUAAAGAGGUAUAUUAUCAAUUCUUAUAUUAAUGCGCUAGAUACUAGAUCGUACCCCCGACUUAUUCCAUGAUUCUAGUUGGCUGCUCCCUCCUCUUUAUUCAACUCCAGCUUCGUAAGCUUCUGACUUUCAAACAGAAACUCUUCAACAGCAUUCAAGAGCAGAAGUAGACUUAUAGGUUGGUUGGCGAGAGGGCAAAUACUGGUGAACUUAGGAACAAAUACAGGACUUGUUUAUUGCCUUUAAAAGUGACUAAAAACGGAGUAGUUGAAUUCCGUAUUUCUGGGUUAAAGCUCCAUUCUGCAAUUCUGACUUUAGGGAUUCUAUCUUCAUAGUAUAAGUGUUCAAUUCCGACUUUCUUUAUAGGUGACUUCUCAUAAGAGCAAACAGCCAACCAACUACUAGAGCCAGAAGUGGAUCAGUGCCUUCCCGUUUGUUUGCUGCUAACUUGUUCACCGACACGAUGACCUCUCUGUCCGCGUUACAAUUCUCACUUGACUACUGAAGAUAAAGAGUACUUAUUCCCUAAUGCACUAGAUCAUACCUUAGGAUCAGAAUCUAGUAUAAUGGACUUGGUUUGGCUAGACAUAGUGAAUGUUUGGGUUGGUCACUUCUAUCUAUUAAACCGAGCGGGGAACUCACAUAAUUCAGUUUCUUCCUUACCCGAUCCCGCAGAUGAUCUUGAAACAGAGUAUGGGCCAGGAUACUUAAUGAAGGCUGAAGUCAAACAAUCAUUUCUUCUCUCUCUUGCUAAGAGGACCGAGUCAAACGGACAAGCUGCGGUGCUUCAGAUCCUUCUCUUGAAACUGUUCCUGCCUAUUCUGGAUACUCAGAUCCUAAUUUCCGGUAGGGAUUCUGAUUCUCUACUUUCUGAACACUUCGCACCCCAAAUACAGGUUCACACAGGACUUGAAAUAAGUAGGUUAGUGACCCUAAUAUACAGCUCUUUCAACUGACACUCAAUUCUUAGUGUUUGUAUGCGCAUAGGAGUUUCUCAAGUUUGAAGUCACUCACGACUACAGUGACACUUGUCGGCUUGGCCGGUUAGAGUUUCAUCCUUAUUUGUUGGUUACUAAGAUACAUAAGUAGUGCAAAGCUUCAAGUAAGGGCAGAGGUUGGCACAGAGAUCAUAUACUGGAUCAGACAGGUAUCGGAGUCGUGGUCAAGCAAAGACAUGCAAGUUAUAGGUUCAAUUCCAAUUCAUUCUUAUCUUUAUAGCAGAAGCGGAUAAACAGGCGAUGACCACUCGUCGGGCAGUAACGAAUUGAACGUUUUCUACCUUCAUUCUUAUCCAGAAGUAGAGAGUUCGGUUCGGGGAAGACACUUAUUAUGGGUGUCGGGUUGACGUGUAGCUCUGUCUCCCCGUGUUAGAUGCCUUUCUACAUCACCUAGUCCGAAUACGCUCCAUUGUAGGUGUGUCGGAGACUAUAAAAAGAGAAGAAAUAAGAUAAGAGAAUAUCUAAGAAAACGAGAAAUAAGAUAAGAUAAUAUCUAAGAAAACACCAGAUGUAUCGCUAGAGAACUCUUAUAAGAGAAUAACUGAGUGAACGGGAGUGAGUGGAGUUCCAUAAGCCUAAGAUGGAUCAUCCGCUGUGCGAGUGGACCUGACCGCUAUGGAUUCAAUGAAUUCUUUAGACAGUUGAGAGUUUCCGGGAAGGGAAAUCAUUUAGUACUAGCUCUUAAGCGCGGUAUGCUCUUUCUAGCGUAGCCCGGUAUCCUCUUUCUUUCUAGCUUCCGUUUUUUGUCUAGGUUCCUUAACCGAAGAUAAGAGCAUAAGCUAUAGGGCGAGUGGAGUCUCCCAGAUCAGACUAAGUUUCAAGAUAUUCAUCAGCAGUGCCAGUUAAGUCGAUGAGAUGAGAUCAGUAGAUGAAACAUCAGAAUUAGCGGGAGAGCCAGAGGGGCUAAAACAAGUGAACUCGGGAAUAAAAUGCUGGACUUUCCGUUCAGAAAUAAGAAUUAGUUGACAGAGCCCAGAGGUAUAGACUUGCUCCAUUGGAAUCUGUAUUAGUUUACAGAAAAGAAGAGGGAUAGAUCUGAUACUGAUCUCUUGGCCCCUAUUCUUAUACAAUACCAGAGUUAGGUUAGUAUUGACUGGCAAGAAGAGAGGAAAAUGUUGGAUAAGCAGGAAACAGUCGAGAGGAUUAGGAAAGCUAUGGAAUGUACUACUAGCUUAGUCGCAAGGGAAAAACACGGAGAACACGGGCAUCAUUUCCAUAGAUUCCACAUAAGAUUUGUUUACCCAGGAAUUGUAAUAACAAUCAAGAACAUUUGAGCGCCUGACGCCGAAAGCUGGAGUUUAGACUAGACAAGUAGACAAGUAGAAAUGGAUUUUCGCUAAAGAAGUAACCAAGGAAAAGAGGUGGGUGAGGAGUUGCUCUUCGCCCAAGGUGUCAACGAUAAUCUCAGAGACCAUACUCGUAUUCUGUAUCACCGCGCUGAAGAUGAAACACUCCAUUCAACAGAGAAAUAUGAGAAGUUGCACCCAACACAAUCACCUCCAUCUCUGGUAAACUUUCCUAGCCCAGUGGAUUCUGUUGAAACCGAAUCUUCCCAUGCUUCUGUACGAGACUCAACUUGCUACCUUACCCCCUACUGCAGAUUCUCUAAUUACCGAGAUAUCUAUACUAAACUCCCGUUAGCACCGAGGAAACUCUAUUCUUAAGGGAAGGGGAAAGGAGGUAAACUCUACCACUUAUUGCUCGAACUGCGGAUUCCGUCUAAGAACUCAGAGGCGCCGUGUAUUAACCCGCUCGCAACAUUAUUGAUCAUUAGUAGUAGCUCGGUGGACUCGCUGCUAACUCUAACUAACACCGAGCAGAAGCAGAAUCAACCUAGGUAGUUCAAGUCUAAGAGUCGAGGUAGCUAUUCUCAGCACCUCUAUUUAGUAGUAAAGAAUUCCACUCAUAUUACCAAUUCUUCCAUAUGACCCCCAUCUUCCGCAUCUAGUCUAAGCUUGGCCCUUUCUUUAGCCUGGAAAUAAGCUACUUGACCGAACGUGAAGGAGACGAAAGAGAAGCUAAAGCGAGUUUAUGAAAGAGAGGAUGCUUCUUCAUAAACGGAAUCAACAGAAGAAGAAACGGAAUAAGCUGCCGUCCUUGCGAAGAAACGGAAUAAGCUGCCGUCCUUGCCUCGGUUUAAACUAGAUCUACUGCUGAAACGAGCUCUCCUUCUGAUGGUGGUGGAUCAAUAACUGCGCCGUUUCUUGUAGUUACGUCAGUUCCGACUUGAUAGCAAGAUACAGAUUCAAAGUAGACUAGAUCAGAUGCAAACUUAGCUGCUCCCUACACAGUGACGUCAAGGAGAACCCACUCAACAGCAGCAUAGCUUACUUAUUCCUUACCCACUCACGUCAAUCCCACGAGCCUCUGAUCCAUUCUCAUUGCUGGGUGGAAAGUCUCAAUCUACAAAAUGAGGAUGUGGUCGAGUUCUCAGCCUUUCUACUGAUUGAAUAGCUUAUGAUCUCGAGUCCUUUCUUGGAAAGAGGAAAUCUUACUAGUGUUGGGAUUCUGGUUUUGCCUGAUACUUAGAGGGCUGAAAGAGCGUCUCACCUUGACAUCGGGAUAUGUUAGAACUUUGUCCUUCCUACGCUACGAAAUUGACUGGCUUUCCUUUCGACGGAUAGGUUCCAUUCACUCCCAAGAUCCAACUGGUCCAUUCAUGCUACUUUACAGUACUCAAACAGGCCACACUGAUCUUAUUGCCAAGAUUUGGGAUAUUUCCUUAGAAUGAAUGUGCAGCUACUUAUACAGUAAGUAACAGCUGAGUAAUGAGUCAUUGCCGGAUAGGUGGCAUUUCCCUUCCACCCUCCCAUUCCGAUGAUCAUGAGUCCUAUCAGACAUGGAACUUUCUAUCGGUCGAGCUAGGCUUCACUUCCUAUCACCUUGAGUGUAAGGAGAGCUACGGAAGCAAAAGACCCGUUUUUCGUUCGCGGGUGGGGAGUUUUUCUUGGAUCAUGGGGAGAUAAUAGGUAAUAAGUCUUAUCUGUCAUCGUCCCUGGAACAUAGGCCGGUCUUCGGACAGAUCACGAAGAGUUCGGCGGGACCACUCGACUCGACGGCUAUCGGAAAAGCAGGGGUCAAAACACAGAUGUAAUCUAAUCUUUCCAUAGGUAGGACGUCGGGAUAAGAAUAACCUUAUAAGCUCGUGUACUUUGGCUCUCACUGAAAGUGUUUAUUGGGGUGGACUGGACCUUAGGGCUGCUGUCUCUCAUGCCACUGCAGAAUGGUUUUUCAAAGCCUUCUUUCGGAUCCAAUCCAUUCUCAGUAGGCUCCAAAUGGAUUCGUCAACAGUCAUACUUUUUCCUCUGUAUCAUAGAUGAGUAAGGCUUGCUCAAGCAACAAAACAAAGAGUAAGCACCUGAAUCAAAAGGAUUAACUAAUUCUGGAGCAAUACUGGUCUAACCAUUAAUACGUUUUGCUUGGCCCUGCCUCUUUCGACUCCCACGCUUCCGAUGUUGAAAUGUAACGGGCUUUGCUUUGACCAUGUAUACCGAAGAAUCUCCGCACAUAUGGCUAGAUUCCCCAUAUAUAGGUCAGAAUGGGAUCGGGUGUUUUCCCGUCACGUCUCACCUAUGUGCCCGGUUUUUCUUGAUUCCCGAUUGCGAGUUCACUUUUGGAAUUACAGAAUUGAUUCAACUGUUUCGAGCGCUGAAGAUCUUCUUGUUUGUUCCCCGAGAGUCUGAUAUGAGUAAGCAGUUCGCCCAGCUCUUCAAGUUCUGGAAUCCCGAGUUCCACUUUCGAAUGGAUUUGAAUAUAGCAUAGUGCAUAGAAAAGGGUAUUAUUACAAGUCAGGAGUUUCGUUUAGUAUAUAAGAGGUUUGUUUGGGUAAUAUUACAAAACAUUCUCUUAUAAUUGGUGCAUAAGAGAUGGAUUCUUGUGUUGCCAGAAGGAUCAGAAGCCAGAGAAUAGACCGUUCGACACUUUACUUUACAAAGUCACCUCUAUCCAGGUGUUCGAGAGAUUCAAUUAAUUGGGCUGGAUUACUUCAAGGCGUGAGUGUAGAGUUUUGAAACCCCAAGCGCCCCAACCCAAGAUAAUCCGCAGUGUUUACCAACUAAACGGUGAAAGAAAUAGGCGGACGCUCCUUGUUACGAGAUAGGUAAAUAGUGUUGGUAUCAGUAAGUUAAUCUCUUCUCUCUGACGAAAUGACAUGAGAAAAGGCCCGGCCCGCUCUCUCAAGCAGAACAGGUGUUCCGAGUAAAGAAAGAAGGACUUCAUGGGGUGUCGCGUACUAGCAGCUACUUGUUUACUACUUGUUGUCCUCCAGCUACUUGUUGUCCUCCAACUACUUGUUUCAUUCCAGAAAUCAGUGUAAUAGUACACGUGAAGUAAAGUAAAUAGCUUAGCUUGCUUUUCAUUAAAGAAGGAAGUCGCAUAUAAUUACACGUAAAUAACCAUAAGUCAAUAACCUGCUUUGCUUGCUUGCGUUUCAAGACUAACUAGCGCACCUCGCAACAAUGAAUAUAGGCACGAAACUCGAAUAAGCUAUUGUGCGACGGCUUGCAUCCCUAUUGCUUCAAAACAAUCUCUUUACUCCCUCCACUUGUUGAACUCAGGAAAGAGGAAAGGAAAGGUGCUGGCUAAACUCUAACCAGGUAAGAAGUAUGGUUCGAGUUCAAGUUCUUGUGUCUAAGGACGAGCGGUUUUUGAAGUUGGCAAUCAGUCUUCUCCUAAGGAUCAAUUUCAUUUAAGCCGAGAUGAAGCAGUGCUGUCAUUGUAGAUGGAAGCCCACGGAGCAGUUAAGUCUCCUGGAAAGGAUUCUCAAUCAGACUCAAAACUCAGAAUCUGGGGUGUAGCGGAAGAAUCUCCAAGAGUAUAAAGCUGAUGGUACAGAUAAAGAAGCGGAAUAUAGAUCCUGAUCUCAAGCCGUAUAAGGGUAAGAGGUCAGCUCUUCUUUUCUUACCUUAACACAAUCAUCUCUUUCACCCGACUAUCAUUUAGGAAUUGACACUCGAACGUAACAACUUGCAAAACCUUUUGCUUACUGACUUUAUACUUUACCGGGAUACCACAUAGCUUCCCUGAAUACUUGACUAGUGGAACCAAAAUAUGUUGUUUCACCCUCGCCCCCGGCUUAAGAUCCAGUUUAUUAAGCAUCUUUUACUUAUCCCGCUCCUUCUUGAGCAUCUGAUCUCUACGUUAAGUCCAUUAGUGAGCUGCUCAUUUCCUACCAUAUAUAGCAUGCAGUUCCAUUUCCAUUAAGAAUUCCGGGUUGGUUUACAGAGGAUCAACUGUCUUUACAGCUAGGUUAAGGUGAGAUAUGUAGACUCAGCAAUCUUAAAGACUCCAAGAUUUGCCUGUUCUUCACUAAGGCUUACUCUUGUCUCGGGGCGCUAACGGAGCUCACCCUUAAGAUACGAGUAUUCUUGACUUAUGGCUUCAAAAACCAGUAAUUUCUUUGAAUCUUAUGCUUUAGCGCAAGAAAGAUUCGAAAUGCAUUCUGAAGACUUAGCGUUAAGUAUUGCCAGGGCCAACAUCAUCGUGAAGUUCGAGUGGAUGGAGUGAAAGGCUUUUUCCCGAGUUAUAUAGGUUCAAAGAAUGGAGUUCCGCUCGCUAAUGCUUACUGUUUUUGGCAAUCUGAUCUUCUAGACGAAAAGUGAAAGAUUUUCCUGUGAUAUUCUGACUUUAUAUGAGGAUGCUUGAAAUAGAGAUGAAAUUAUGGCUUAUGCUUCUUGCACCGUUGCUGGAACUCGUACACUUGUGGAUUGAUUUGAACUCACGUAAGCUAGGAACUAAAACGAUCAUAGGCGCACCCCUACCCUAUCCGUAACCUUUUAUUCCAUAUUACUCUCUAUAAGUGCUCUGCUCCACCGAACCUCACUGCUAAACUAUGACUCUAUUCUAUUACUGUUUACUACUGGAAAAAACUCACUAUCCAGUCUCGCUUAACUCCACUUAUCUAGCUUCGGAUCUCGUAAACAACACUGGAACUGCUUAUAACGAGUUAUGGCGUUCUUUCGUUGGUAACACUUAAGAAACCGCUCCUUCUAUCGUAGGUGACGUUACACUACUUUGCUUCCUUCCUUUAAGAAAAAGGCUUCUUCGGAAUCUGUUUCGUUUAUCGGGUCCUCUCCCCAGCUUACAGGAAUGAACUUCUCUGAUGGAAAACGGUAGCACUUGGGCUUGUGCCUUGCUUUAAUAGGGGAGGGUCGUUUUGCUAUCAAAGUCACUUCCUACUGGAUGGGGCCUAGCGCUUUCUGAAUAGAGAAUGAAUAAGCUCUGAAAUAGUAUAGAAACACUUUGUAAACUAACACCGAAACUAGUGCACCCGCAACAACAAGAAAACGUAAAAGUGAAGUAAGCUAUCGCGCAAAUGAAUUAAGCUUGUUUCUUUCGACAACUACCCUUUCAGACCCGCUUUUGAUGCUUGGAUUGGACCACUUAGCGCGCGAGUACUAUCUAUCUUCACACCCGAACUAUACUUUUAGACGAAAACUGGCUCGUUGACACCUUGGGCUAAGGUAAACUAAGAAAUAGCUAUCUCUCUCUGUGGUUACCAACUCUAGGAUAGGAAUGAAGCGACUAAUGCUAAUAGGCCCCCCAGACUCUGAAUGUCAAGUAAGAAUUCCAUCCAGGGUAGUAAGUAGUAAUUCCCGACUGUAGCUUCUCAUAGGCUAAGUAAGCAUCUAGUUUGCAAGUAAGAAGGCAAGAAAAGAGUCUAGGACAAAACCUCAAAAGUCAGAAGAAAGCCCUACUCCGAAAGUCAAGGAUGAUACCCGGGCAUAAAGGAAUCGCGCUAUUGGUGCUAUUGGAAUCCACUAUACCUUAUCGGAAUAUACCCCUAGGGCGACUAACAAGACGCAAGUGUCAAUUUCGAAUCAUUACCGUUAGUGGAAGAAUUUAGAACUCCCGUGCUAACCACUAAACAAGCAUAUCACUCCGGCCAGAGUAGGAACUACAGCAGAAUCCUAUAUUCGCCAACUAGAAGAUUGAAGCACAGAAGUCAGAAAUCAACUCAUAGGUCCAAUAGAGCAGAACCCAACUCGAAAUACAGAAGUCAACUUACUUGUUUGAGUCACCAAGCAACGUAGUCAGACCAAGCCACUACUAAUGUGGCGACCAAGCAACUAAGCGCCAAGGAACGGAUAGACAAGCAACAGCCUGUAAUGCCUAAGCACCAGUCUUAGUAGCACCGGUUUGGUUCUGAGCAGUACUGGGUUAAGACCUUAACUCCCCAGUUCCUGCCGGGCCGGGCAUCUGAUCUUAUAGAUUCCCCACUAAUAUACUUCUUUCUACUUUUGAUUCAUAUACUUACUUUUGAAAUUCUGUUACUACUCAGAAGUUGGAGUGAAGUAUCCGAUCUUUGCACAGAAACACUAGCACCCGACCCCACAUCUUUUGUUUUAUUGAUUGAAGACCCGAAAACAGACUAGUUUAUUGCUUAGCGCCCUAGCUCUCCUAUUGCUACUAUACCUUUCCAUUUAAACUAAAGACUUAUGUGCGAGCGAGUCAAGGAGGAAAUUCAAACAAACAUAAACUCUCAACUAAUAAUUUCAGAAUAGGGUCAAAAGAAUGUCAUUAAAGAAUGGAAUUGAGGAAUGGGGAGUGGGGAGUUUAGGGUUUAGAGUUUAGAGUCAAAUUCUCACUUUUGUGUUUCAUUCAACAAGCAAGGCGGCCAAGGAAAAGGCUAAAGGAGCGGUUCCAACCAGUAGAGUAGUCCUGGAGAAAAGAAUCCUAUUUAAUAGUAUAUGUUAUUUCGAGUACCUAAUUUCAUAAGAGAUCUCCAAUUACCAACUCAAUCUAUACUAAACUCCCGUAUAUGAGCAAUUCCCAUUGAGUAAAGUAUUCGUAUUUGGGUGGGUGUGAAGUGCCCAUAGUAUAUGAUAUCACUGCGGAAGCAUUAAUGGAGUGUGCAAAAUCUCGUUACAAAAACAAACCCGUACUUACUGUGAAUAUAGGCCUCGCAGAAGUGUACCGUACCGAAGAAAGGGAAAGGAAUUCUAAGAGGCGCGCACUAGUACAUAAGGAUUUUCGUCUAAAUAGAAGUUCUUAUUUGAAACUCCUUGAAAGAAGCUCCCAUAAGCCAAGCCAUUGAUUCAUUGCAUUUUGGGUUUGAUCGGUAUUAGAUCGUUGUUACGCCUUUCGAUAGGGAACACAAACGGAACUUACCCGACGACAAGUCAUUUAGAACCAACCGGAGCGCACACUUGGUUAAUUGUACUCUUACCUUGUCCUAGGAGCGCCCUUGUCAGAUACUAUCCUUUCGCAGCCAGCCUGCCGGGCAGUUCUUGCUUCUUAUUCCAUUCUGCUUUGGAUGCUUCUCCCGUGUUUUCUUCAUAUUCUCAUGAUGCUUCGUAUAUAUAUGAUAUGAAUAUUCUCAUGAUGCUUCGUCAUGCCUUGCCAACAUUGACUUGGCAACCUACACUGGACCAACCACUUGAACAGGUAGUACAGCAACGGGGACUUGGCCAAACGAUUGGAACCGGCUCGGCUCCAACAGCAGCGAAAACCAAUGGAUAGGCGUAAGAGUGGAGGGCAGAGAGUCGUGGAAUUCCAGCACGAAAACAAGUCUCAAAUCUAGGUCUCCCAUUCGUCCCCUGAAAACCGAGUCUAAGAGGAUUCAAUCCUAUGAUCUUGGCUCGAGCCUUUCCGCUCCUGUUCAUUCAUCGUGGGACCUACUGAACCUCGUAAACUCCUGAAAGCGGCUUUCCGCUCCUGGCCCUAUCGGUCAACCGGCUUUCUAGCGGCUAUAUUCUAAGGACAGCCCUUUCCCUAAGACAUGUGAUGGCAUUCCACUAUCUUCACGUCUAUAAAGAAAGAAAGGCUUUGAUCUCUCUCUUUAUAUCUUUACUUUGAUCCCUUCCUCUCUCUUUCCAUCUUGACUUUUCUCCCUUCUUCUCUCUUUCUAUCUUGAUUUUGAUCCCUUCCUCUCUCUUUCCAUCUUGACUUUUCUCCCUUCUCCAUGAGAUAAGGUGGGAAAGAAGACAUGCUGCUAGGAACGGAUCUUAGUAAUGGCUUGCUUUCUUCUGUUUGAUGUAAUCUCGGGUCGGUUUCGAGGAGAGAAAGAAGACAUAAUCUCAGGAGAUCACUCAUCUCGGGACUAAGAAUCUAUCAAUCUAUUCGACUGUGGCUUUUAUGCCGGACUCCUCAUUCCCUUAAUGAGGAGAGGGACUCUUCUAUGAAGGCUCGAGAGACCUCUUCUUCCGCUCUGGCCCUCUUCCCAACCUAAAUUAAGCCUUAGGUGUCAAUCAGUCCUUGGCUGCAGGUUUAUGGAAUAUGUGUGUCCGGUUCAUAAGGGAAGGGGAGAAAGAAUAGGAAGGACUGUGCUUGCUGAAUUCGAAUCUCAACCCUAAUCAAUAAACAGCUUCCAAGGCUGUUCCCGCUAGUGCUACUGUCCUGGGACUUUAUCGCUCUGGUUUCAUGUCCCCCAUUCCAUGCUUUCCGUUUGGUUGUUGAAGAAAGUUCAAGUAAUCCUUUGCUUUGUCGGAGUAGAGCCCAUUGAUAGAUUAAUAUAAGGUUCUAAAAACUACGGAAAUGUUAUCCUGUGCUUUCCUUUUUGGCUUUAGGCUCCAGUUAUCCCGUACUCAAUUCCUUUAAUGAAGGUCGGGACUCUUCACUCUUUUUCUCCCGUUCCAUCUCCUCGUCGAAAGGACUAUUUGCUUUCUGUUUGCUUUGGCUGGAUAUGUCCUUUCAAGGGCGCAAGCUUGACUUGGCUUGGCUAGACCAACAGGGAAAAGGCCACCGCUCUCAUCAAUCCCAUUAGUAAGGGCUUCAAUGAAGUCCUUGGUUCGGAAAGACCGGAACCGCAGAAAGGAACUGCUUUUUCUAGAGAUCGGCAAAGCACGGAUAAAAGAGCUUCCAGGACUUUCUAAAGGCCCUCUCUCUGUGGGGUGAUAAAGACAUAAGUGACUUCCGGUGAGCAGGCGCGGAGUCUUUCUUAAGUGAUUUCAAUAGACUUCUAUGUCUUGCCCGAUUCCUUUAUUCUUCCAUCCAGGAAAUUUGCUCCUUAAUAAAGAAAGACCAAACCCAGGGCUCGGCUCUUCCCCUCCUCUUAAGUAGCUGAAGCAGGAAGGAAUAUAGCAUAAUUUAGCCAAAACAACCAAGAUGAUGAAAGACUCACACAAUAAAGACAAUUCCAUUCAAAGUGCCCACGGUCGCUACGGGAUUGGUAUAGGCUCGAACGACCGGAAAUUGAGGGUAAGGGGUUGUUUUUUUCAGGGUACGAGUACGGGUACGAGGGUUGGCUCACUCUCAAUCCCCCAAAGAAAGACGGGACUUCAACUUCACAGAUAGCCUUUUCCUGUAAACUGAGAAUCUUGAACCAGGUACUUGCUUUGACCUAGGCUCCAGCAACGAUGCUUUAGGUGUGGGGGUGAACCGAUCCAGUUUUCUCUUUGAGCCGGUGGAAGUUAUCGCUCCUUCACCUCGUCAACUCAAAGGAAAAUCUCCCCAGUGGAUGGAAAAUGAAUACAAAGUUCAAUCUUAGUCAAAACUUGUAUAAUGAGUAGUGGUGUAAGGCUAAGUGAAAUAAGAUAUACAAAGGAAAUCAAUCCAGUAAACCAGAAUAAGUUCUUUGUUUCAUAGUUGUUGUUUGUUUGCCCUUCCCGACGAAGAUCCAGUGGAAGUGGGUAGUUUCAUUCUAUCAGUGUUGGAUUCCUUCUUUGUGUUGAAGGCUCAAUAAGUUAUAGCAAGCAAGCAAGGGCAAGGUAAGACUUAACUCUUUUUCUAUUUCCCGCUCCUAACAAGGGGCGUAGCGAGAAGACAGGAAGAAAGGACAAAUAUAGUUCUUUCGAUUCCCCCCGAUUCUUUGGAAAGUAAUAGCUUUGAACUCCUAUUUCCUAGGACUGAAAGCUGAGGAAAGAGCAUUCGCUGGAGACUGUGAGCGUGCCUUGGAGCCGUCUAACUCUCGGGGGUGCCUAUGAAGCCUAGGGAGGCUGGGAAGCUUUAGCUUCUAGGACGAAGCCGAGCCACUAGUGGAGUGGCGAAGGAGGCCCACUAUACGUAUACUGGAUUAGUCACCGGUGAAAUACCAACAAUCAACCAAUUCCUUAGAACUAUUGAAGCUAGAAGUGUGAUUGAUCAGACAAGUAUAAAGGGCUUUCGGUAUACUUCUUUCAUUUCCGAAUUAGCUUGCUACAAGUCCUAGCAUUAGUAUGACCGCGUAAGGGAAAUCCAUCUUGAUGACGAAUUCGAACAAUAAAUAGAAAUGAAUCGUUCGAUGUCUGCUCGUGCUUCCGCCGAGAAUUGGGAGAAAGUGCUUUCUUUUCUUGACUUGCUCAUAACUCACUACCGCAUGAGCUGAUCCAUUUUAUUGUCGGCGUCCAUUAGGUCAUUCAUAAGACUUUGGAUGGCUACACGGGGAUGUGGUGUAACGUUGAGGUCGAGGUCUUUUUCUUCUUUUCUAGAGGAUGGCCCCGCAUUGCAAUUAGCUUCUCCUUUAGGGCGAACCCCAAUACAGGAUUCCUGUGCGCCUACGCUAGCGUCGGUUUCCUGUUCCGAACCGCUGUCAUUCCCGUCACAAAUAACAAUCACUAUCAGUAGAAUUCCCAGUUGGAGGAAGACCACAGAAAGAAAAAGCCUUACUAAAUAGCGAAAUAGAUCCAUAUUACAAUGACUUAUAUAAUGACUCCAUGUAAGACAAGAUGAACCAGAUGAAAUUUUCCAUGAUAUCACGGAAAUCGGAUUUCCUUUUCGUGCCAUAUGCGCUUAGACUUUCCCUUUUUCACCCCUUUUGAUUCCCGGUUCAAUAUGAGUUCUCGAAAGUAUUCGUUUCCAUGUAAAAGAAAACUAUCCCAAUUGUUGACCAAGCAAGGUCACUGAAACAAUUACUAAACACUUACUAAAACGCGAUAGUGUCCAAUGAAGACCAACCCGUAAGCUCCCCCUACUUUACUUACAAGGCUUUCAGCACCUUACUUUACAGGCAUUUACCUCCUUACUUUACAGCUUGUCCAACUACAUUUCUUGCUCCAAAUCAAAGAAAGACAAAACAACACCUAAAUAUUCGACCUGAAGAGGAGACCACUAACCAAUCUCUGUUCAUUUAUUUAUUUCUAUCAAAAGCUUUCUUUUCUGAAUAUAUUUCUAGUUAUAUGAACAGAUCACUCCUAAAUUCAAUAAAGACUGUCUUUUGACGAAUGGGAUGUGGGAAUUUUCUAUGAUAGAGAUCGGUAUUAUCUAUUAGGUUGCCGUAUGCUACUUCCUUACAAUUCUUCGCAUCGAGCAAAGAGAAAGAGAAUGUGAACAGUUAUAAACUCAACUAAGCAAGGGCACACGCUUUCUUUCGAGUCUCGCCCUCAGUCUCUUGGCACCCUAAAGCAAUGGAAUCCAAAGGUUGUAAGGUACUACUCUGUCUCGUCGGUCAUCCCCUGAUGAUUCGGCCCUCUUGCACAAACCCGGCUGUUCUCGUGGUGCUAACCCGUUGGCUUUGGGGGGAGGAGAACUCCGUGCGGGCAAUCUCCGGCACCCUUUGGGAUAACUAGAGUACAGAAGCCAGUAUAAAAGCUAGCAAGUUUACGCUCAUAGAGAUAGAGGAGAGAAAGUCAAAAACACGACAGAUAGAAAGAGUCAGAGCGAGAGCUAAAUCAUAGAUAGAGAAGCCCUUUCAAGGAAUCCGGAGAUCCUAUUCAUAAGAGCGGAGCCACUUUACCAGAGAGAUAGACGAUGUUUCCACUGGUACCACUUGAGAAUCGCAUUUGACGUUGGGGCUAAACCUCUGUUGGCCCAUUAGGAGUCUUUCACUCUCACUCUACUAGCUCUUCUUGCCUGCUCCUCUGGCUUCCGCUUGUAACGAAAGAGAAAAAGAAUGAACGACUGAGAGAUCCAACUCCUAUGCUAGAAAACUUCCGAUCAAGCGCUUCCGAGACUCAAGUUCCCUUACCAAGAGCCCAGAGCAGGCACAGGAUCCAGCAAGACGGGAGGGCCUAUCGUGAAGGGACUUUCUCUUACGGUAGGGAAGGUGCAGCGGGAUCCGAGGCGGGCUUACCUUCAUGUCUUCCUUUUUUAGCAAGUCUCGGAAUGAAUGCUAGAGCUGCCUAUGUCCAAAGUUCUCAAGUAUUUCUAUUUAUGGUAUGAUUUGAACAAGGAUUUCUCAAGCGGAGGUAGCAAGUAAGUGCGAAAGAGAGAGAACAAGAGGUUUGCUUUGGAUGGAAUGCAGCUUUCAGUUAAUCUUCAAUCAAAGAGAACAUUGAAGUGAACUACACAAGGGGGCCAGAUCAAAGAACAAAAGUAGCGUAGAAAAGAAUAGGAGACUUUCAUUGUCGAUAUGGUUAUGGUUCAAAAAGGAUGACAAUAAUUCUCAUUCGAAACCAGCGAUCCGGAUCACUUUACUAGUUAAGAUCUUGCCUUAUUAGCGCCGCGUGGGAAGGGAAGGAAGGGCUCAUUCUUGACCCUUGUAUAAAAGGUGAAGAAAGUGGAGUUAUCGCAUUGUCCUUACGGUUUCUAUACCCGAAACAGAAGAGUCAGAAUGAUACUAUACGGAAAGGGAUUUCACUAUGGAUAAACGGAAAAGAGGAUAGGAUGGAGCUAGGUAUUAUAGAAAGAAGUCAACUAACCCACAUACAGGGAUACAGCUCCGAACUCAACUCGUUAAAGGGCUUCUUGGAAUGGAAUCGCAACUUGCUUGACGAGAUACUUUACUUCGAGAGCGCUGCGCUAAGCAUAUUUCUUCAUACGAGCGAGUCUCUUUCUGUGCUAGUUGAAAUCAUAUUAAGAAGAAGAUCUCGGAUCAACUGCGGAAGCCGCAGAAAGAGUAGGAUACGGAACAGGAGAACUAUGAAAGGAAUCAGAAUCAUAAGAAGAAGAGUCAGAGUCCGGCUUUUGUAGUCUGGAGCUCACAAACCCCCCAUUCUUUCGCCUUACCCUUACCCGGCUCAAGUAAUAUCUGGAAUUCUAGCAGUGCCUUACCCUUACCCGGCUCAAGUUAUAUCUUUCAUUCAGUCCAUCCCGAGUCUCAAGUAAUAUAUAAAAGAUUAAAGGAGUGCAUUCCGUUGUUUCAAGUGUUUCAAGAGACAGUCCAUAAGCUAGUCCAGUUUUCAAGGAGCUCUUUCAACUCAGAGCAAGAAGGCAUCUUCAUUUCGCGAGAUAGUCAAGAUUCCCUUUGCUUUGCUCUCUUCAAUCAACGUUGCUUGGUUUGUAGCGCUAGAAACGGAUCUUUGCUCCAAUUCGAACGUCUUCAAACACUCUCUACCCGCCCCUCUUUUAUCAAUAGUAUACUAUGGGCAUAAUAAGAUGAAACUACAAAUAGUAUUGGCACUAUAAGAUGAAACGAAAAACCCUCAACGGUAAGAGGCCAAGGGCAGGACAGUGUUCUUCCCGACCCCCCGCACAUGACUAGGACAGUUUCUUAGUUUCACAAGAUGGAUCCAGGUUUCAAUAAAACAUCAUCCGCCCGCCAUAGCCGCUUUGAGAUAGAUUCACAGUACUUACUUAUGGGAAGCAGCAUCCAUAUAGCGGAAUACACAAAGGAAAAGCAUCGAGCGAGACCUUUCUGUUCCAUUGUAGCCCAUAAAAACACAGGAAAUCCUCUGUCUGGUCGUAUUCGCUCGAAGAAAAUAACAAGGUUUUGUAGUGAGUAGUUAGCAUUUGAGCGGAUACUUGAACUUUCUAACAUGGAUCCCCAAUCCAGAAUCUUUGCCCGGUGUAAGUAAGACAACUAUAAAGAGAUUGACGCCCACUCCGGUGUAAGUAAGACAACUAUAAAGAGAUUGACGCCCACUUCUUAUGGAUUACUAUUAAUUCCGCAAUGCCGACGAAGAAAGGACUCGGCUUGGAACUUGGGGGUGUUGACUUGAUCCGCAAGUAUUUGAAUCUAAUGAUCAGGUUGGGUUGAUUAAUGCAGCAUGAGGUGAGGGAAAAGAAAGUGGAUAAGAUCAAGCUUCCCCGACUAUUCUGUGGUAGACUUGGUUUGUAUGAUCAACAAGGUGUAUUGGUAAGGAAGACAGAGUUUCCAGAAAGUCAACCUCUGAGAAAGUAACAGUAUAUCGUAGAAGUCAGUAUGAAUGGAAAUGAAUUGCUUGGAAAUAGAGAAGCAUAAUAACUUCAAUCAUUUUGGGGCAAUAAUAUUAUUCUUAUGGUCAUACACAGAUCCGAAAGCUUGUAGGGAAGUUUCAGAAUUACCAUAAACAGGAUGCAAGUGACACAAAGUGGAGGAGAACCCACCCUCAUAUGGAGAAAGAUCCGCAGCUAUAAUAAUUCCAAUCAGACAUUAUCUUCUUGAAUUCUUCCAGUUGCUAUACCCUUGAUUACUAUUAUGUUCAAGAUUCUGCCAGUUAAUAUACCCUAUAUUACUAUUAUGUUCAAUGUUCAAGAUUCUGACUUUCUCAACAAUUUGGAAUUUAGACCAAGAGUGCACCAGCUCCUCGCCCAGCUUCCGACUUGGAGUUUCACCCGAAACCCUGAACUUAUCUAUCUGUCUCUCGGGCCCUCUCCCCUGACCAGGAUCAGAACAAACCCAGACCAGACCGGUAACCAAUCAUCUCUCCUCCGGGUAAACCAUUGGAACUGGGGUAAGCUCCGCCCAAAGGAUGGAAUGCCAGUUAUAGACAAGGCGAAGAUCAGACACUUGACUUCGAUUCACUUCAAGUUCCAGGUGAAAAACGAUAUUUGAUACUCUCACUGCUUAGCCUACUCAGGACUCUUAAAGCAAAGGCACCCCAAACUAGACUUGAAACUUACCUUACCGCGCUUGCUGCUUACCAGAUGUCCUCCCCGCUCGCUGCUUACUCAGGUCAACACAAUCACCCUAUAUCACAGACUUAGAGCUAGAGCACCAACACUCUCACCUAACUUCUUACCCGGUUGGUUGGAGUUUCCUCGCCUUAGACACAAGCACUUUACCUCUGAUUCAAUAAACGAUUAAACACGUUCACCUCUAUCGCAAACAUUAAUGGAAAUUGAAACAACUAAACUCCCAUUAGCAGAAAGACUGGAACUCACCGGGGGCAACUCAUGAAUGUCAAUUUGCUUAGACUAAGGGCUACUCUAUACCUAUAUCCUCUCCUGGGUGGCCUAUAUCUAUAGAAUGUUCAAUGAUUCUUCUUUUCAUAAUGAUACUGGAAUUGAGGCUGGCCUCUGCUACUUAUAAUAUUUCCUUACAAGCGCCCCACUUAUUUUGACUUUCUUUACCUUUACCGUUACAUGGGCUAUCCGACCUCGACUUUAUGAAUCGAUUGUUUCAGCAAUUGUAAACUCCCGAAACAAGAGCAGUUAGGUACCAGUAAAGCGCUUAUUAUUCAACUCUUCUUUACAAACACACUGAAACACCCCGUAACAAUAAGCAUGAAGCUUCUUUCUUCUUUUUCCGUCGCUUGUUCGAACUCAGAGCUCACUAAUGCUAUACUCGAAAUAAAUCAUUUCACUGACAACUAUUCAUUGACAAAGUCUUAUAUCUAAUUAAGUAACAACCUCGGGAAACUCACUCUGUUACAGCCGUUGCUUGUUUAUUCUGUUACUUUAUUAUUUGCUUUUCUUGCGUGUUUGCUUCUUUCAUUUGAGAUUGAUGUCGGCACCCGACCCGACUCUAACUCCACAAACUAGAACUACACUUUCCGUCUUAGAGCGUAAGCACCAACCCUAGCUACUUUCCUCGAACUAUACCUUUGACUUUGACUACUUGCUUCACACAUGGGACUUCUACAAAUACAAUCUUGCAUUUCAAGUUGAUUUCGGGUAGUGUUUCACUCUUUAGUUGUCAUUUGAACUCAAGGAAUUGACACUCCGUAAGCGAAAGUAACAGAAUGAAUAGAAUAUCUCGAGUCUCUUGCACCUUAUGAAGAUCGAGUCAAAGGCUAAGGCUUAUAUACGAGUUUCAAUUCCAAUCCUGCUCCCAGGUGUGUCUUACUAAGUUCCAUAACUCUACUACCCUUCUAAGUUCUAUAACUCUACUACCCUUCUAAGUUAUAUAACUCUACUACCCUAAACAUAAAGGUUGGCUGAAUAAUACUGAUUUCUCUAAGUGUUUGCGGGAAACUAAAGGGGCGAAGCUACUAACGGGUUUUCUACAGUCUCUUUGAACUCUCCUCUUAUCCUGCUCCUAGCGGUAAGUAAACUAUAUGAAUUAGCUGUUAGAAAAGUGUAAAGUGACUACUAUAUUCAUUCUGAUUCUAUAUCUUAUACUUACUUGUCUUAUUCUAAUACUCACUAUUCUGACACCUCUACCCUGAACUACAAGUCGGGAAAGACAAGCUUCUCUUUCGUAGACCUCAAUCCACUCGGAUUCUUUCUUUGGCUAAGGCAAAAGCACUUCUGGAACAAGACUUGUUUGUUUGGUAAGGAUACUGCUUCGUCUCGAGUCUAUUCCCCAGCUUCAUAUCUGUCUUCUGCUUCAAAGCUGCCGUAAGGAAUAAUGAAACUCCAAAUAAGGAAUGAAACCUCUGAGAGUCAGAUACCUCCUCACCGGAUCCCGCUUUAGAUCCUAAUACCGCUUAUGGUCCUGCAUCCAAUCUUUCUUGUUCUUUUGCUCGAACUACACAAACUCGAACACCACUUCCAGCUUCUGAUACAACUGAGAUUCCCCCACUUCUUAAGCGCUAACUGACUUAUAUAAGAGAGAAUGAAAGUCGGAAUGUCUGGGUAGGCCCGGCAAGGGAAAUUCCACUCCAAAGGAAAACUGCUGCCUAAUAUUCAUUAAGGGCACUGGACAAAGAUGUUCAAGCAAGGGAACCAGUGGAAUCAGUAUUAGUUGAGUCAGUAGUAACAGAGACUAGAGAAGUAUUAGUUGCAGGAGAAGAUAUAGAUCCGGGUCACUCCCAGCCCUGUGCUCUUAGAUGAAAGUAAUAAAGUGAGAAGGAUUACUAGCACUAACAAGCGGACUCGCAACUAAGCCCUUUGGCAGCUAUCUCCCAUUCCCUCUUUCUUUCCUUCUCGCCCACCCAGUGCUGCUAUAAAGUAGGAAAGUAAUAAUAAAACAGUAAAGUAAGCCUGACAAUCACACAUGGGAGUACAAAAGAGUAGUGGUCAGUUUGCAACUCAAACUACAGACUUCAAGCGGGGAGUGUCGGUUUGGACCCCAGGAUCUGUGUUUAAAGAAUCCAAUUCAUUUAGUUAAGUCAAGUACCAACUCGGGCCCAAGAGAAUCAAACCAAGGAGAUCAAGUUUGAAACAAGAAGCAUAGGCAUUGACGCUACUAUUAGUCAUACUGAAGCUCGAAAGGAAGACUUAAAGGUAGGAGUGGCGGAGUGAGAUAAGUAAGUAAAAGACUAUACCCUAGGGAGGGCAGACUAACAACUAGGCAUUCAGACCUGAGUAGUAGGUCAACAGUGGUAGGUCAACAACCAAACAUAGGAUUUUCUGGCAGAAGUAGCAAGCUUGGUGGUUUUCGAGGUAGGGCUUUGUUCUUCUACUACGGAUUCCCAUUCUUCAAUGCAUGUGCUUAAUUCUCUGACUUUCGAGUGAGAUUCCCUAGGCAGUAGGUUAGGUUGAUCCUAAGCUAUAAGAUAAAGUACUAGAGAUGUGGGGCAGUGUUACAGCCGGAUAGUUCUAAUUGGAAUUCCCUUUUUCUUGUUUCAGUAUUGGGUGGCCUAGGUUCGAUCCCGAGUUAUUUGUUGGGGGAGUCAGAUACAUUAGUUGCAGGCUAACGAUUGAACAUGAGCGUGUAGGGAAACCCCGUCUAAUACUUAAGCUCGGUUUGUGAUCAGUGAAUUAUGAGAAGUAAUAGUAUAAGAAAGAGUAAGGCAAGCAAGGAUCAGAGACAGAGAUAUCGUAUUUGAAGUAAGCCAGAGCAGACUCAUGGGCAAUGGAGCAAGGUUCGGGGUCUAGGUAGGCGAAAUUAGGACUCGCCAAGCAACUAAGUAAGACGGCCAAGUCACUCUCGGAACAAGCAACGAGGGGAACAAGCUUAUCGUGUUCAGGCAGAGCGUGUUAGGAAAGAGUAGAAAGCGUUAGUUAGUUGUGCGUUAGCUGACUUGAGCGGGUCGGGUGCUACUUAAUAUCUCGGAGUUCUUGAGUGAGUUGCAUUUCCUUAGUUGUAGCAGUGUCCUGUUACCAAGUUAUAGAAGAUGUUAACUUCCGCUUUAUAUUCCAAUUCUCCAUCUAGCCCGAGUGGAGUUCGUUAGUUUUGAAGUAAUAAGUUAGUUAACCAAUUCUAUAUAUAUAUGGAAGAUAUAUGAAAUGAACCAAUAUGGAAGAUAUAUGAAAUGAAACAAUCCCUUGUGCUAACGCGUUAUUAUCGUUUCAGGGGUAGAGUGACUUCACACAGACCAGGCCCUACUUUGUUGUUAAUCUGCUCGAAGUAAAGUAGAUCGUUUCGUAGAAAGGUAACCCUAGAAAUCAAGUAGGCAAUGCAGUUUAGAGCGGAACCCAUGUGCCUUAGAUCAAUCUUUAGUUUAGAGCGGAACCAGCCUUAGUUAGAGAGAGAGUUUGAUAGUGUUGUAGAGUUUCGCGCUGUUAGGUUAGAGGGAAAGUCAGCAAUGCUGCUAGUAAAUAAUCAAUAGAUUCCAAGUAAACAAGGAAACAAGCCGAUCCUUAUUUAUAGUAGAAAGUACAACGCGCUACCCUUCCUUGCCAGUAAUAUAUUCUAACCUUUCAUUUAUGCUUUAGCCUAAACUGGAAUUGCAACUUACUUGCGCACAGCAGAUUCUCUCUCUCCCUCAUUGAUACUUGGAUACUUUGCUUCUCAAUGCCCGGGCAUCUUUCUCCUUAUCCUGAUGGAACAGCAGUCUAGUAUGGGGAAAGAAAAGUGCAACUUCGAUUAUUGCUCCUACUAUCAACUACUACUAGCAACUCUCUAAUCUAGCCCCUAGUCUUUUUCCACCUAACCACUUUUUCCACCUAAAGCACUUAGGGUAGGCAAUGAGACCAGAAAGGACAACCUAUAUCAAUGUAAGCCAGGCCGUUUUCUUCUUUUGCGGGGACAGGCAACUAUACUAAUGCCAUCUGAUUUCUUAUUCCCCCGUGUACGAACAAUCACAGCAAAGAAGCUUUAUCGGAUGAUACCCCAAUGUGCGCAAUACGACCCCAGGAUACAAAGAGAGAUCAGCCAUCACAUAGCCAAUUUAGAGAUUGGUCCGACCCGCUAACAAAGCCUUUAGACCUUUAGUACUAUCUCUUUCUCUUUCGAAGUUACGGAUGACAUUUCUUUUGUAGUUAUUACCCUAAGAUCUCCCACUUAUGCUCCGUUCUCCUCGGUAUAAGCGGUUCUUGUUUCAUAAGCUAAUAUGGCAACCUGGUAGUAUAGUGAGCUCUAUCUCUGGAUUAAGCUUCCGUCAUUGAUAGAGAUCAAUCACAUAGAACCUUUAGAGCGUACUCCUUCCUUUAUAACAGAAUGGAUUAAGAUCAAAAAAGAGGAGAGCAGAAAUCUUGUCAUCUAGUAGCGAAGAAUACGUUUUUUUGACACAAAGGAGAAUAGAAUGAAAACUCCCUGUCUUCACCUCUCGUCGAGUGGUGUGCUUGUUUUAGGGGUGAAUAUGCUUGCUCGCGGUAAUUAGGUUCGACUCUUUAAUGUUCUAUUUCGGUAUGCCGCUCCAAAUGGAUUUCACUCUUUCUUUAGUUCAUAGGAAGUGCCCUUCGGGUGAGCAUUCUUAUAAGUGUAAUGAUCCUUACUUCUCCGGGGAAAUAAAGGUUUCAAAUGGCCGGAUGACAUGCGAGCCGUGAAGUGCAGCUGAUCAAUCGCUUGUGAAAGAUGGAGCUAUUCUUUGCCUUGCAAGAAUGAUUAAUAGAGUCGUUAAGGGGCAGAGAAUCGGUCUUAGUUGACCGGUCAGACAAUACACUGAUAUUAGUUUACGAAAGGCUUUAAGGGCAGUGGAUUCCUCUUAUAUUUAGAUGAGAGAUCCAUUCUAACUAUUAUCUUAUUGACUGAACAAGUGAUUGCUGUAGGUACGGUAGAGACCUUGGGACUGACUCAAAAAAAGAUGGAUAGCAUUUAUGCCAAUGCUUAGCGAUCAGGAAAGAAGAGCGGGGCAAAUUAUUGAUUCUAUCUACGCCUACUCCAUGAAAGCACCAACCACUAUCUGGUCUCGAAAGCGAGUGAAUCAGUCCCAUCCUAAGUCAUUGAAGAUGCCCUGACUCGGGUCAAGAAUGGAAACUUACUGGUAUACUGACAGCCUAUCUUCUAUCUCUUUUCUGGGCGUGGGAUAAGAGGAAAGAGCUGGAGUUAACCUCAACCAAACACCACUAAGAAUUGGAGAUGAUUUGAUUUCCCACACUAACAUACAAAAAAGAAAUUCUAUAAAAUGGGUUCUGUAGCCCAGUCCUAGGUGACAGCACUCGAAGUCAAAAGAACUUCCUGUCGCACAGAGAUGACUUAUUGAAAAACAGCACCGCCUGUGAAGUAAAGAAACGGAACUUAAUAUAAGGCCUAUUCCCUCCCUUUGAAGUCAAGAGAAAGGCUAACUGCCCCACCUUUGAAGUAAAGAAACGAACCUAGCAGCCCUACCUUUGAAGUAAAUAGUAAACGCCAGAGCCCCUGCCCCUGUACGACUAAUAUACGAAUAGACGAAUUGAUCCUCGUUGUGUUCCUUCUGAACUUCCUAAUUCUCAGGCAUCUUCGGGUUUAGGGUAUUGUCUUGUUCAACUUCAAUCUGGGUUCGGUGAUUGGUCUUGUUUGGGGAAGACUAUCUUACUGGCUUUGAGGCUCGGGUAGGCUUUUUUGACUGACUUGGCGGGUAGGCAUUUACUGACUUGCUUGUGCCGGGUGGUGACCACAACUACUCAUUCUAUUACUGGGGUCGGGUAGUCAAAAGAGAGUCCCUUCCUCGGGUAGUCAAAAGAGAGUACCAUCUUUUAGGGUAGGGCUAGGGUAUUGUAAUCAAAUCAAUGAGAAAAACAAUCAAAUGAAUAACCUCUUUCGAGCUUAGCGCCUUUAAGUCUGGAACUAAACCUUGCUCACCCUCUCGAACAGGGCAUGAAUAAGUUGACUUUAGAACUAGAACUGGUCUCUUACUAAAAGUCAGACGAUAAGUAACACACGGUAUAGAGGCUUGGUAAAGAAAGAGAAACUGAAGUCACUCACUACUGCUGGCUUUUGUCACUAGCUACGUUGCUUGCCCCUGUUCUUGUUCUAGUGUCAUCCCCCCUGAAAGUAGUCUAGUAGUUUCGUAGUCCUGUUUCAUAUGUACUUGUUGGGUCGGCUAGGGAAGCAGUUUAGGAGGUCUGCAAGGUCAGCUGUGGAAUCAGUAGUUGUUAGAGAGAAAAGAUGCUAUGUGUAAGUAUUAGUUGACUCGGUAUCAGGUAAGAGAGAUAUUCCAUUCCUUGUAAGGUAAGAGAGAUAUUCCAUUCCUGUAGUUGGCGAGUUUAGAGCCGAGUUCAGGUAAGAAGAUAGUAGUCCUGUUGCAUCUGUAUUAUUUGACAGAGGAGUUGUUAGUUUACUUACCGGUAGUGAACUAAAGAAUAGAGUUGACUUCAGAAUCGAAUGGGAUGAAUCGAUUUGGAAGAAAUGUGGGAUGAAGAAAUUGGAUCAAAAUGAAAAUAAAGCAGAAAAGUGGAAGUUGCUGCCGCUAUUAAUUAGGACUCCGGAAUAACUGGGUAUAACGUAUUUUAUUUGCCAAAACAGCUGCCGCGCAACAUUAGUAGUUGUUUGUUGAAUGCAAGUGAGCCAUAUAAUCCUGUAUGUCUGCUUGGCCCCUACGAAAAGAUGUAAUUUACAAGUUCAUCAAAACAAAGAAAAGUGGAGUCUAUAGGUUCCUUGUGUGCGAGUCAGCCUAUAACUCUCAAUCUGGGGGGGUAAAGUACUGGCUUUGAAGCGGGAAUAGAAGCAGUGCUAAAGAAGCAAAUAGUUCUGGGAAAUCCAAUUCACUGAGUUGCUGCUAGUGUGAGUAGAAUCCGUCUUUUCACCCCUUGUUUCAUAUGUAUUUGUUAAAGAUGUUACUGGCUCCACUAAAGAGACUGCUCGAGGUCAAGCAGAAAGCUCAGGUUAAGGCUUUGUUGCGAGGUAUCUGCUACAGGCAAGCUUAUACUAAACUAGUCCUUUGCCCUUAAGUAAUUGGGCUUUAUCUGUCUACUUGCUAUGUGCUCGGGACGGGAGCAAUAACUGUAUUUGUAGUCCUAUUCGAGUGCCCUGCCUAGCCUUAGGGGUCUCGUAAGAAGCCAUAGGUACCGGAGCCAGGCCAGAGAAGGAUAUUAAUCAUCAACAGGAACCAGAGGCAGAGGAGCCGAACCGAAUUAAGUUAGUUAAUAGGAGCCGAGCCAGCUGCUUGUUGAAAGAAGUAUGAGUUUACAGAGUUGGAUAAGCCGGGAGUGUUAGUUGAAGUGCUCUAGUUCGAGAAGGAAGAAUAAAGCCAGUAGUCAAUUAAUCCAGUAGUAUAACCGAUGUGUUUAGUUAAAGGGGUAGGCUGUUAUUAAAUAGAAGUAAAGUCUAGGUCGAGCUAGUGUCAUUUUUAGUCGAGGGAUAGGAUUGCAACCAUCUGGUCGGAGAGCAAGGGAACCGCUUUUGAGUAGUGGGUAGAAAACGUGCAAUUCAGUACUGCCCUAUUGCUAAAGAAGAGGAACAAGAAAAGUAUUAGUUAACAGAGGAGAAGCUUUGAAGCUGGGUUGAUUCUUUAAGUAGUAGGGAUUGAUUCUGUCGUUUAAUACCUUCUCCUGUUCCUGGUCGAGUGUGAGUUGAAGACAGGUAGUACUUGUUACUUCUAGUAGUAGUAGUCCUGUAGAAUCCGCAUUUGUAGUAUUAGUUUCCAUCAGUAUUCUUUAUUUAUUGCUUCAUUCUUGUUGGUCGAAAGAAUAGGGUAAACGGAGCAUUCUUUCGCAUCUUAUUGAGUUUUUUGGCAAAUAUUGACAUGACGCACCCCCUUUGGGACCUAGAAAUGCAUUAGAAACCCUUUAUUGAUGGUUUGGGAACUCUUCUAGGGUGGUGGACUGGACUUCAGUUACUCAGGUAGGGGAGGAUUGUUUACUGACUUGUUUUAUUCCUGAAAUUGACUAGCGGCCCUGCCCUCUUACCCCAAGGCAUAGGGUGGUGAAGCGAAUAGUGAAAUCAAAGAAAUGAGAAAAUCUUCAAAAAGUAAAAAACGACUUCUCUGUCUCAUGUACCUACACAGUACACACUCAGUAGGGGAAAACAGCGGAGAAUUGUCUCUCUCUUUAUUAAAGAAACUAGAAUGUCAUAGAAUAGAUGUGGUUGCGCCUAUUAUGUGUGCCUAUUAUGGGUGACCUGUAGAAUAGAUGUGGUUGCGCCUAUUAUGGGUUAGUUUUGCCUAUCAUGUGUUUUGUUCAGGCGAAAGAGAAGUUUCAUUAUAAGAAUAGGGGCAUCCACUAUAGGAUUUCUCCUCUUUUUCUCGUUUGAUAGCAAAUAUUACAUUAGCUACCCCCUUAGGGGCCAAAAAACACCUUUAUCACUAAAAGAUUUCUUGUCUCAGAAAGCACUUUAGGAUGGGUUUGAUGCGAGGGGAGUCAUUCUAUUACAUUCCUAUUACAAGGGUAAGGGUCGGAUAGCAGUGGAAUAGCGGCUCUGCCGCGACACAUUAUACGUGUCUUGGCGGCUCGGGUCGGGUAUGCUGGUUUAAUGAAGUUACUAGGCUAGGUCAGUUAGUAGUUAGGAAGCCUACCUAAAUUCUGUAAUUCCAACUUCUGAGCUUGCUGGCUCCUUAUUCACUUCAUUCUCCCUUUCCACUAUCCCUCUCUGGCUCUGGCCCCUACUAUAUGGAAGGGCUUUCCCCACUAAAUGCAUUCUGAUCUUAUUAAUGAGAAAGUUGACUCGCCCCCCUUUACCCUAGCAUUAGGAGCUUACUUAUUCUUUACCCUAGCAUUAGGAGCUUACUUAUUGCUGAAAGAUUCUAAGAAGAAUGACUCUUAUGGGGCACCCGCUCCAACAAUCAGUGUUAGCGCCACUAAAGCACCCGACCCGGCCUAUCUUUCUGAUCCUGGCUCAGAUCCAGCUACUGUUACUGUUCCUGUACUUGUCUAGAGAUGUUUUUAAUGUGAUUGGCUGCUGUACUUCUAAAAACAUAUAAAGAUGAGAAAUCAUUAAUUUGUGAGUAUAUGUUUCAUGCUUUUACUACGUUAAAGGACGAGUAGUUGGUUGGUUGCUUGCCCUGUGGCAUCUGAUCAAACAAGUAUAUACUAUUAGAGAAAGGGCAUCUAAUUCUUUUAGGGCCAAGGCGAACUGGAGCAGCUUUAUCCAAUUUAGUACUUAGUGGGACCCGACCCGGAUUUGGAGUCUUUAUGAGCCGUGGCACACUCUUAUUAUAGGGAAAGGAGCACUAGGUUCGGUUGGUUGUCGAGAGGGAGGAUCAGAAUAGAGUCACAGAUACUAGGUUGGCGCCGAGAUAAGUCAAUUCUGUAUUCUGUGUUUCCUGUUUGCGUUUCGAGUCUAAGAACAGAGGGAACUUUUCAUCAGCCUUCUUGUCCGUGGAACAGUUGUUUGCUAUAGUGUGAGAAUUUGUAUAUGUCGCCCUGUAGUGCUCUUUGGUUGCCUUACUUAGUCAUAUGAGUGGAAUUAUUACUUUCGAACUGGAACUGGCACCACUACAAGGUACAGCCCCGAACCAACACUGUAAUCUGUAACUAUAGUGAACACUAGAUUGAAGUUGCACUAGACUAGAUGAUUCUUCUUGCCCCAACUCAACCUACUACUCUAGACUAGAUGAUUGCCCCAAACAAAAGUGCUUAUCCAGCCGCAUUCUCUUGAAACUUUUUCUUAUACUUCUUUCAUCACCUGCUUCUAAUGCUGAUGAAACUCAAACUCACUACGUAGCAGAGCGGUUAGGCUUUCUACUAGGCACCCAACAAGCAUAUAAAGUAAUUAAUAUAAGAAUAGGGAUAGUCAAAGUAUUAGAAUAGUAAUAGUAUUGCUUGUGUCUGUCCUUUUCCAUCUGUAAGCGCUAAGAGAACUUUCACUGUAAACUCCCUUCCUUCCUGUUUAAGAGAGAGACCCUAACUGUUCCCCUUCCGGUUCUUGCUUUGUAUACGUUUGCUUGGUCAGGCUAAAGAGGAGCUCCAGCGGGACUAUCCGUGUAAGAAGACCUUUUUCUCGUUGUUUAAGCUAGGGUAAACUAAUCCAAAUGUGGUUGAAUUGGGCUUUACCUAUUGGUGUACCCGAAAAGCUCGUGUAAUGCCUUUGUAGCCUAGAUCACUUUCGAACUCCCUUAUGCUAAGAGGAAAGAAAACAUCAAUAGAAAUGGAACUGACUUAUCAUCUGCAUCUAAUCUAGGAAUGAAAAUGAGCACACACCACACUGAGUCUUGAUACGAGUCAAGGAAACCAGUAAAACUAGUAAUUCCACUUGUAGCUGACUUGAGUCUGAUCGGUGUUAGUUUGAGUCUUUCUGUUCACUAGUCCAUUCUGAGUUGUACCAGCUCCGUUCCUUGACUCCCCGGUUUCAUUCUAUAGCUCCAUUCCAAGCCUACCCGGGUGAAGUCUUUGCCCUAGUGGUUUGAUUCUGAGUUUAGUUAGCACAGGUUUGAGUCUAUCACUGCCCGGCAUCAGACUUGGAUUCACUAGCUGAACUCAACAAGCAACUACUAAUGACCAAGCCACUACUAACCAAACAACGGCGCAAGACGUUGAGCGGUAGCAAUAGUAAUAGAUAUAACAAAGUUAUUACAAUAGAUGUGUUCUGGGCGGUAGGAGGAAGUGAGCUAAACGUUAGCGAGUUCGGGACUCACUCGUUCCAUUCUUUUACUAAUGAUCGGUAGGCUUACUAGCCACAUACCAAUACCUAGCAACAAUGGUUUUCUUCUUUGACUCCCUAGCUACAUACCUAGCAGGCACCGUAUCAGGCUUGUUAGCGAUGGUUUAAGUCUGUAACACCUAAGCAUCAGCCUGUAACUACCUUGUUAAAGUCUUACCAGACACCGCUUCAGUCUGCCCAGCACUUGUUCUAGACCAGUAGAGAGAUGCAUCAGGCUUGGACUCCUGAGCACCCGAACCGACCUCUGCUAUGUAAACUAAGUCUGAUCUUGAAACCGCAAAGCCCCCCUUUCCCUAGCAUAAGGCUUGCACUCCUUAGGCACAUUCCGAGCAGUACGGUGUGUAGUCUCGCUACCCCUACUUUCAGUCUUAAACUCAAUAGCUUUAUUCCGAUCCUACCCAGGUGAAGCCUUGUCCUCACCAGCCCCAUUCCUUGCCUCACUCGUUCCAUU
rnacentral:lncRNA from 1 species